rnacentral:lncRNA from 1 species
GAUCAACACCAACGAUUGAAGUUUCGUUGAGAGUUCAAGUGAUUGCAAUGACAAACACCCUCCCUUCAGAGACAAAACUUCAAUUUCUUUCAUCCCUUCAAAAAACCUCUGAGGAACAUUCAAACCAUCAUCCACUUCUAAUAAUAGAACUUUGAGCUGUGGACAUACCAAUCCUUCAGGAAGUUCUGCUAGUUUAUUGCCCAUUAACGAAAUUGUUGUACAACCUUCAAAGCUUUUAUCAUUGGCCACUCCUUCAACCCAAUGCAGCCUUUACCAUGAAUCCAUAUUCUUCUGAUGAUGCUAUCUGAAUAGCACAUCACGAACCAAGUCAUGCAUUUUCACAUGUUCUUCAGUUUCAGUCCCAACAGCAACAACAAUCUUUGAGGUUUUGAUUGCCACAUAAACUCGUUUCCUUGCAUCUUCAAUGGGCUCCCAUCUUGAUGUAACCCAUAGCCAACUGCAUAUCUCGUCAAGUCCUCGAUUGGAAUGUUGUAAUCUUCUGGAAAUAAACAGCAUAGCAAGAAACAUAACUUGGUUUCCUUGCUUCAAAUAAUCAUAGCUCAACUUAAGACAUGCAUAUGCAUUUUUUUCAAUUUGUUCCAUGUCCGGAAAUUGAGAGUUUUUGAGCUGUUAGACACUUCCCACUCAACUUCAGAUUUAUCUCUUAGAGCCUUCCCACUGUCACAAGUGCUAUAGGCAAGCCUUGGCAUUCCUCGCAACCUCCUUGCCACUGUGUUCAAGGUAGAGUCCCCAUCACGUAAACCUGCAUUGAUUCUGAAUAAAUCCCAUGCUUCUUUUUCAGAAGAGACCUUAAAACACUUUUUCUGGCACUCCAUAGAAGAACAUAUGCCUUGAAGACGUGUUGUUAGAAGAAUUUUACAACCCCUGUGAUCAUCACCAAAUGGGAUCCCUAUCUCUUUCAAGUCAAUAUGUUUCCAAACAUCAUCCAGGAUUAUAGCAUCUUCUUUCCCUGCAGUCUCUGCCAUAAUCGAUCUGCUCUCCCUUCUUUACUCUUUUCUUUAAAUUCCAGACCUAACUUCUGCCAUUCGAUCCUGGAUGUCUAUGACAUUUGGAUUCUGGACACCGUAGCCAUCAAAACUUCAUCAAGCCGCUGCAACUCUUUGGCUCUCCUGCCUACUUCUUUCACCAGGGUGGUUUUACCCACCCCUCCCAUGCCGUACAGUCCGAUCAUAUUGACGUUGUCAUCUUUGAGAGCUUUCAUAAUCUGUUCAAAGCUUCUUUUGAAUUCUGAGGGCGUGAAUUCCUUUGAUGGAGAAAUUCUAUGGGCUGAGGAGGAGCUUUGGGCCACUUUGUAAACUUUUUUUCUAAAAGUUUUCUGAAAGUCUCCGACUUCUUGGCCAGUGCCUUGCUUAACUUGAAUUGUCGCAUGCAGUUUGGACACCAAGUAAAGCAUUUGCCAUUUUUUCCUAUUUCAUUUUCCAAGGGCUUCGCACCUUCAAUUUCGUUGUUUGCAUCUUCCAGCCACUUUUUGACAUCUUUGUAAAUUUCUUCAGCAUUCCUUUCAGCAGCUUUGACAUCAUCUUGCAGACGUUCUUUUGCCGAAUCCAGGUUCUGCUUUCGUUCAUUGAAUUCUUCAACAAAAUGGUUGAAACAGAACAUGUAACGGAACUGCCUUCCUACUGGUUCACCAUGGGUUCUGCUAUCUUAGAUAUAAUGUCAACCACACUUUCGAAAGUCAUUUUCCACCGACCUGAAAAUCAGAGAAAUAAGGAUACACAGAACGUGAGAGUGAGUCUAUGAUGACCAUCUCUUAUCACACGUUCAGGUAAUAUGAUUGACCUAUAACAAUAUUAAAAAAAAAAAUAAAAACUAAUAGAUGGUCGCCACGUGUUCAACUUUAUCUACCAUUAGGAAAGGAUAGAAAGUAGGGGAGAGAGAGAGAGGUUAAAAGGCUUUAAAAAAAAAAAUAGAUGGAGAGGUUGAGGGAGGCAGAAACGGAAGGAGACAAUAUUGAAAGAUCGGAAGGUCGGAGGAGAGUAAAGAAAAGCUUUUUUUUUUUCAACCUUUUCUAUUAACAUGUUUCGUAAUGGGCCAUGGUAUUUUGUUUCUAUUUUGUCUAUGUUUUCAUCUAGAGCUUGAAAAAACAUCAUGUUUUUGGGUUUGUGCCUGAUCAUGCAAAAAAAUUUUGAUGUAGGCAGAAGCUUAAAACACUAAUUAAAGAAUAUAAAAUUUUUAAUGAGUGAAAAGAAAUGCAGAUAUGAAGUUUUAAAUUUACCAGUUUAUUUUUUAAAAAAUAAUAAUAAUGAAGUUUGUCUUUUUAGUAAGUUUACAAUAUUUUAAAUACACCAAAAACUCUAUUUCAAUUAAAAAAAAUUGCAAAGGAAAGAUGCAUAACAUCCAAAAUAAGUAAAAAAUCAAAAAAUAAUAAGGAUACCAAAUGUGAGAGUGAGUCCCUACAAGUAAAACAGGCGCAGAGAGAAUGGGAAUAGGAAUUUCAUUACCUCAAUUUGGGAAAAUAUGUGCGAAAAGCACUGGUACUGAUUGCUCAAUGAAAUAGCUCGUUUGUUAUGUGAUGCUCGUUUAUCUAUUUGAUUGGGAUUUUUUUGUGCCUUUGAUAAAAACACUCUUUUUUUUUAUCUCUUUGAUUGGAAUUUGUUUGUUUCUCUUUUAUUUGGAAGAUCUUUGGACACUUUAAUAAUAUAAUAACAAAAAAAAUUAAAAUCUUGAUGAAAUUAUUGUUCAUUCAAACACAGAUUUGCUGUGGACUACAAUUGUAUUUUUUCCUAAAUUUUAAGUUUUAGUUUUAAUUUUAAGUUAUUUAACGUCUUUUUAGGGGAAAAAAAAAACAACGCUCGUAACAUAGUGCAGUCCAAACAGAAGAGACAUCUCUUGAGAAAAAGAAAGAAAGAAAGAACCCUUUCUCCAUUAACCGAACCCCAUAACUCCAGGAAAGUAAGGACUAAACCAUAGUGUAAAAAUCUUAAAAGGUUCUAAAUUAUCUCUGUUACUUUUCCUUAAUUUUCUAGACAAGCAAAAGGAGCUAAACUUAUUCCCGACCAAAACGUCAAGAAUUUCAGUAGAACAAAAGAAGAGAUUAUUACUUGACCAAAAACAACUAGUCAGCAUCCAAAGAAACCGAGUGAAUGAGAGAAAAAGACUAUUAGCUAGAAAACAAUCAACAGAUCCAAGAAUUUUCUGUAUGUUUUCCAAGAAAAUGAAACGAAAUGAGCAGCACAACCCUCUAAAUCCUCCAAGAAAAGAAAGAAAAAGAAAGGAAAGAAACAAAGAUAGUAGGUUAGUGUUAGAAAAAAAAAAAACAAAGAAGUUCGAGGAAGUGGGAAGCCUUUUUUCUGCUGUUCAUGUGGUGUUCUGGUGUUCACGCAGACUAAGAACUCCUACCAUCGUAUAAUCAUAUAAUUAAAACACAACAAUAAAAAAGUAACAAGCAGCUAAUUAUGUGCGAAAAUCAGAGAAAUAAGGAUACUGAACGUGAGAGUGAGUCAUUGCAAGUAAAAGAGGCGCAGAGAGAAUGGGAAUAGGAAUCUCAUUACCUUAAAUUGAGAAAAUAUGUGCGAAAAGCAAAGAUUGCUCAAUGAAGUGGAGAAGGCCUUUAGCUCUGUAUGGAAUCCAGCUUCAAAAGGAACAAGGCAAGGUCUAAGCAUUUUGAUGACAUAAUUAAGAUAAUAUGCGUAGUAAUAUAGAGACAGUGACAAAGAAAUAAAGAAAAAUUAUGUGUAAAAGUAAUCACCUAGCAAAGAAAGAAACGAAUGAAAGAUUCAGCAUAAUCACUUAGACGCCUCCAUGGAUGAUACCAGCUCGCUUCCAACAACACAUGUAAUUAACCUAAGCUAAGAACGGUCAAAGUUUUUUUUAGUUUUCUUCUUUUUAAAAAAAAAAAAACAGAUCAUCAAGGGAAAAAACUUGCAAAGAAGUAGAAUUAAUGGAAUGAACACAACAAAGGAUCAAACUCAAGCAAUUAAAAGUAACUGUCUAUGAGUACCAUCUGUGUCUCACACUCAAGUGAGGAGAGAAGGAGGAGAAAGAAAGCAAAGGGACAAGGAAGGCAAAAAGUAAGGUCACGUAGGGCCAGUCUUGUAGAAAGUUUGAAAAGUAGCAUGACAGAAGAGGAUAAUAGUAUAAUAUUUGAUAUAUGAAGCUAUGCUAAGGGAAUGAAGCUUGUACCACCUAUAAUAAUAAAAAUAAUUACAUAUUAACAAGCAUCAUUUGAUUAGUAAGUUUCCAAAUUCUAUCCACAAAUAUUAUAACUUAGCUAGAUUUCAUGCAAGCAAUUCCUAACUCUAGUAUUUUCUUUGUGUUAAAAAAUGGAGACUUCUUGGUGUUCGCUAAAGCUUGGGUAUACUAUUUUUGAACAAAUAACAAGGUAAAAACAUCUUUUUUAACGAUAUUAAAAUCAUUUAUUCAUUUAAAGUAUCAAUAUUGUCAUUUAUAAUGAAACAUUUAAUUUUACUACAUUGAAAAUACAUUGACCAAUAGAAUCGUUGCCUUUAGCCAACCCCAAAUUUGUCUAUCAUCAUAUAAUAUUGAUCAUUACAUUAUGUGAUUUACAACUAAUGAUAGGAUUUCAAGGACAAGUCACCACAACAUUAAUAAAUUCACAUCCUACCGACCAUUAUGGCUGUUAGAGCUCUCUAAUUGAGUUGCUAAAUGGAUAGUUAAAAAUAAUAAAAAAAAGUAAUAUUUUAGUUUUUUUUAUUUGUAUUUCAUACUCCAAAGAGAAAAUCAAAUGAAAUGCUAAAAUGCUUUUUUUUCCCCAUAAAUGUUAUUCCUACAUAUCUCUUAAAAGAGCUAAAACUAACAAAGUAGGGUCCACAAAAGAAUAAACCAAUUAAAUCUAGCCACGUAAAAAAAAGAUCAAAAUCAUUAAAAAAAAACAACACUUAUUUAUUCCACUCUAAUAGAAUUGGCUUUUCAAAUGGAUUUUUUCCAUUGGAAUACACAUGGUAAAAAAAGCUAUAUUUAUACUAUUUAAAAUGUUAUUUUAUCAAUUUACCUUUUUAAAAUAGCAUCUCCAGAUGCUCUUAUAAAAUAGCAAUGGCCAUCCUUUGGCCAUCAUGCCAUAAAAGCCUCAUUUUGAGCCACUUUCUCUCUCUUGCUCUUGCAAAUAAGGCACGAUUAAGUAUAUUUAGCAGUGUGGUAGCGGUUGCUUUUCAAAUAAGCUUUUAAACAAAUAUGCUUUUAAAUCAGGUUAUCCCGUAAAACCUGAGAUUUGCGUUAUGAAAGUUUGAUAACUAAAUAUUAAAAAAAAUGACGGUUUACCCAGAAUUAACCGGGUUAACCCAUCAAACCAAGUUAACCCAUCAAGCCCAGGAUACGUGUCAUGAAAGUUUGAUAAUUAACUUGAAUAGACUAAAUUAAAUUAAAAAAAAAUAACUCGUCAAAUCAGGUUAACCUAUCAAACUCGAGAUUCGUAUCAUGAAAAUAUGAUAACUAAAUAAAAAAAAAAUUAACAUUAACAAACUAAAUCAAACAAAAAAAUUCAUUAAAAAAAUUAAAAAGAAAAAAACAGUCAUAUAAUAUAAUACAAUAUAAUAAUAAUUAUAAUGAAAAAACAUGGGGAAAGCUAAAGUUCAAGCUAAAUUCUCAACCAACUCAAUAUUAAAAAAAUAAAUUUAACAAAGAUAAUUUAAAAUAUAAACAGUGGGGGAAACACUGCAGCCAAAUAAAAAUCAUGCAAGGUAAACACUGUAGUAAUCCAUAAUGUUUUUUUUUUAAAAAAAAGCUACAAAGCUAAGUUCUCAACCAUCUUAAUAUAUAAAAAAAACCGAGAUCCGUGUAAUGAAAGUAUAAUAACUAAAUUAAUUUUUUUUUCACAUUAACAAACUAAAUUAAACAAAAAAAAUUAUUAAAAAAAAACACAAAGAAAAAAGCAAAAAAAUAUCAUGGGCAAAACGAAAAAAAAAAAGGAAAACAAAACAAAAAAAAAAAAGUUUAAGUGUUUCACUGUGUGCACAGUGAUACAUUAUAUGUAAAAAACAGAAAAAACAAAGCUGCUACAGUGAAAAACCCUCGCGUUAAACAAAAACAAAAACAAAAGCACAAAAAAAAACUGCUACAGGAAAAAAAACCAAAAACAAAAAAAAUGCCAUAGAAGAAAAAACAAAAAAAAGGGCAAAAAAAAAAAGCUUUAGCUACAGUGAAAAAGCUACACGUUUUAGAGUUCUUAUUAAACUUUCAAAUCAAGAUAACCCGUCAAACCUUAGAUUCACGUCAUGAAAGUUUAAUAACUAAAUAAAAAAAAAAAUGACGGGUUAACCUGUCAAGCUUGGAAUACGUGUCAUAAAAGUUUGAUUAAAUAGAAAGAAAUUUAACAUUAACAAACUAAAUUAAAUGAAAAACAUUAAUUAAAAAGAAAAAAAGUAAAAAAAAUAAAAUAUCUAGUUAACUCGUCAAAUCAAGUUAACCCGUCAAACUUGGGAUCAAUUAACAAACUAAAUUAAACAAAAAAAAUUAAAAAUUAAAAAAACUAGGAAAGAAGUCAAAAAAACCCAUAAAGGUAUAAAAAACCAAAACAAAUACAGAAAAAAAAUGAAAAUGAAAAAUAAUAUAUAUUAUAAUAUAAUUAUAAUUAUAAUUAUAAUUAAGGAAAGACAGAAAUAAAGGAAAGGACGUGGAAAUAGAAGGAGAGGUUGAGGGAGGCAGAAACGGAAGGAGACAUUGAAAGAUCGGAGGAGAGCAAAGAAAACAUGUUUGAGUGGGAUUUUUUUGUGCCUUUGAUAAAAAUACUCGGUUUUUUUUUAUCUCUUUGAUUGGGAUUUUUUGUCUCUCUUUUAUUUGGAAUUUCUUCGGACACUUUAAUAAUAUAAUAACAAAAAAAAUGAUUAAAUUAUUGUUCAUUCAAACACAGAUUUACUGUGGACUCCAAUAAUUAAUAACAAAUUAUUUUGAAUUUUAGUUUUUGAUAGCCAUGCUCGUUUGAUUUUAUUUUUAUUUUUUCCCAUACUCUUCCAAAUAAUGCAGGAAACGAGGACCUGAAAUGACAGCAGCGAAUAAGGAGAGAAAUAACGUGUUUGUUCUUUUUUCUUAUAAAGUAUUUUAAAAAUCAUUAAAUUAAAUUUUAUUUUAUUUUUAUUUCAAAUUAAUUUUUUUAAAAACUAAUUUGAAAAUUAGUAUGAAAAAGAGGAUAAUAGAGUAGUUGUCCAAAUCAAAACACAUAAAUAUAGGACAAAAACAGGGAUGAUAGAGUGCUCUUUGUUUUCUUAACUGUAUUGGUUUAAUGAGGUUUAUAAAUAUUUUAGAUAAAAAAUAGGUUAAAAGCAAGUUUUUAAAUAAAAAUCAAGCUUAUUUUUUUAUAUAAUUUAAAUAAAAUCAAUUUAUUUAGUUGUUCAGAAUUAUAACUCAAGUUAUAACUCAGGAGAAAAGAAUUGUAAAGAAGUAGAAUUACUGAUACGAACACAACAAAGGAUCAAACUCAAGUACUUAAAAAAAAAAAAAAAGUAAUUGUUUAUGAUGAUCAUCUCACUAAAGGAGAAAAAAAAAAUGGGUCAAAAAAGGAAGAAAAUAAGGUCACGUCGAGGCCAGUCUUGUAGAAAAUUUGAGAAUUAGUACGAAAAAGAGGAUAAUAAAGUAGUUGUUAGAAUCAAAAGACAUAAACACGGGAGAGAGGCUGUUUGCUGCCUGAAAUCACGGCAGCAAAUAAGGAGACAAAAGAAGGGGCUGAAAUCAAGGCAAGAAAGAAAGAAAGACUAUACAUUAAUGUCGUUCUCUGUUUGUCUUCUAAAACCUACUCCCAUCAGCCUGUUUGUAUUAUAUUCUUAAAAUUGCUCUAUGGGAUUGCAGGCCAUGGCUCGUUUGAUUUUUUUUUUUUUCAUAAAACAAAAUUCUUUUCAUGCUCUAUGGGAUUGCAGGGAUGGAGGACUUGAAAUCACGGCAGCGAAUAAGAUGUUAAAUAGAGCGUUUGUUUGUUUUUUUUUUUUUUAGUAUUUUAGAAUAAAAAUUAAAUUUUUUAAAUUUUCAUAUUAUUUUGAUAUAUUUCUAAAAACAAUAUUUUAAAAAAUAAUCACUAACACAUUUUUUUUAAACUAUUAAGUAACCAGUCCCUUUAAUUUUCCAACAUUACAUUUGGGUACCAAUCUUCAUUUUUUUUUCUUUUUUAAGUUUUUCUUUUGGGUGGAGAAAAGAGAGAGAGGGUUGCCGGAUUUUAUUUUAAAGAGAAAAAGUUGUUAUUAAGAAAGAUUUUGGCUACCAAAUUCGUUGAUUUUUGUGUGAGCUAGUUCGUUGUUAUUAAGAAAGAUUUUGGCUACCAAAUUCGUUGAUUUUUGUGUGAGCUAGUUCAAUUUAAUGAAGUGAGUUAAGAUUACGUGUGUUUUUUUAACUUCUAAACACCUUAAAAAAAGAUCGGAACUCUAGAAGAUUUUUUAUUUUGGGUUUUGAGAUGGUUUUUUAUGUUUUUUAAGGCCAUGUAUUGGUUUAAUGAUGUUUUUAGAGUGUUUCAUAGGUAUUUUAGGUAAAACAAAUGGAUUAAAAACAAUCUUUUGGUUAAAAAGUCAAGCUUCGUAUACGGACGCAUAGAUGACAUGUUGUCUAUAAAGACACACACAUGUCAAUUUUUUUAAAAGCAUUAGGGGAAAACAUGUGUUGUCCACACCAUUAACUUAACAAAAAAAAUUAAAGGUUUGUGUGCAUGGGCUUGACCUUGAAAGUCCGCGAAACGAGCCUUUAAAGGGUGGGCCAUGCACUAGACCUGGCUCUACAAGCCUAGCAAGAAAAACAUCAUUUAUUUUUUAUUAUUAUUAUUAAUUGUUUUUUAUAUUUAUAUUUGAAAAUAAUUUUAAAAAUGAUGUUUUCAUUAAUACCCCUUUUUCUAUGAUUUUCUUUUGCCUUAUCUAGCCUUUCUUCAAUUAUUUUUAAUUUUGUUAGGUGUGUUUAGUUUUUUAAGAGGUUAAUAUGAUAUAUCUAUAAUUCUUUAUAUAUUUCAAAUAAAUUAAGUAUUUAUUCUUUUAUAAUAAAUUGUUUGUAAUUUCACCCUUCAAUUCAACGUGAUGUAGAAUUGUUUUUUUUAUUAUUAUUAUUAUUUUGGUCCUCAUUGAUUGCUUCUUCUAUAUAUAUAUUCCCAUUUUUUCUCCCAUAUGAUUCAAAUAAAACUAGCUUAUUUAGUUGGUCAGGACUAUAAUGUCUUCUUUUUUUAUUUUAAAAACAUUCACCCUUCAAUUCAACGUGAUGUAGAAUUGUUUUUUUUAUUAUUAUUAUUAUUUUGGUCCUCAUUGAUUGCUUCUUCUAUAUAUAUAUUCCCGUUUGGUAUUGUCGCCUCUCUUUUUUCUCCCAUAUGAUUCAAAUAAAACUAGCUUAUUUAGUUGGUCAGGACUAUAAUGUCUUCUUUUUUUAUUUUAAAAACAUUUCUAAUAUAACAGAAGGAAAGGAAUGGGAUAAAGAAGGAAGAAAAUACUAUUUGUUUUUUUACUGUGUCAGAGUGGUUUUUAUAAUUAUAUUUAAUUUAUAAAAAUAUUUAAUUAAUAUACUUUUUAAUAUUUCUUGUUAUUAUAUAUAUAUAAUAUUUUAAUAUGUUUUUAAAUAAAAAAACUAUUUAAAAAAAAAGUGUCACAAUACUAAAUUAUAGUAUAAAUUAAAAGAUAAAAGAGCUUUCUGGUUAUUACUAUUUACCGAGACUUAUUUUAUUGUGGAUGUGGAUAUUAAUAGUGAAUGUUUUUAAAAUUUUCAAUUUGGUAUUUGAAUUAUUAUUUUUUUGCAUAAUUGAAUCUCUUUAUGCUCAAAUCAAAACUCAAUUGCAUUUUUUUUUUAAGGAUAAGAGUUGAAUUGUAAGAUAGGUGACUAAAAUGGAAAACUGGUAAAAAUAUGUGGAGACACUGUAAUUGUUUGCAAAGUUCAUUUUAGUCUCUUAUCUUUUUGAGCUAUUAAGUAACAUGUCCCUAUAAUUUCCAUUACAUUUUAUCUAGAAUCUCGGAUUAUAAUCUAGAGACUAUAUUGAAAUUUUCAUAAAUUGAGAAAUCAAACUAGAAAUUUCAUCACCUACUGAUAUAACAAAAUUUCUAACUCAAAUUUAAUAUUUAAAUAAACCAUAACUCAAAAUCAUUAUUUUUACUUAAAAUCAUUCAAAAUCAACUAAAUAACUCAUUGUCCAUAACAAUCAACACAUAACAUUCAAAUUAAUUCAUCAAUCAAACCCUAAUAACAGAAAAUUAAAGCUAAAAAAACAUAUUAUACACAUCAAAGCAUGAAUAUUCUUUUAUUUUAAUUUAUUUUCUCUAACUCUCUUAUCCGUUCUUUAUCUUUUCCUCGUUUCUUUUUUUUUUCUUUCGCUCUCACGGUUCUCUCUCUAAAAAUUCAGAUCUCUUUUUUUUAUUAUUAUUAUUUAUAUUUUGAACUCUUUGUUCAAUUACUACAAUACCGUUCAUUCAUCUAUACCUACUUCUAAGCCUCCAAGGGUUUUGUUGUCUUUUUGUAUUCUCUUUUAUUUUCAAAUCAUCACAAUAAAAUUGUUUUCUUUUUAUUAAGCUGCUAAUUUAUGCAGCUUUAGCUCUUGUUCUCUUUUCAUGUUUAGCAACUCUGAUCUGUUCCUUUUCUUUACAUGAUAUAAGGGCAGGUUUUUACCUCUUGAAGUCUGCUGGAUAAACCUAUAAGCAGAAGAUCCUGAAGCGAUCCCAAAUCACAGCUUCAAUCCCCACCACAACCAAUUUCCUCUUUCCCGUAGUCUGUCGUCCUCAAUUGGGAAAUGAUCUCAAAAAAUCACUUGAUGCAACAAGUAGGGUAGAGAGAUAUAAGACUUCAACAAAGAAUCAAACUCAAAAAAAUUGAAGUAAUUGUCUAUGAGAAGCAUUUCUGUGUCACACACUCAAGUAAUAUGAUUGACCUAUUACAUUAUACAAAUUAAUAAUAAUAAUAAUAAUAAUAAUAAUAAAAGAACUAGGUUUUUGAUGGCAUCCAGAGUGCUGUUACUUUCAAACAAAGAGGCUUGUGCAUGCGGUGUUACGCAGCGUUCAUGUACGCUAAGAUCUCCUAUGAAUACAAUUGUAUAAUCAUACAAUUGUAUUAGUUUUAUUAAGCUGUUAAUUUAUGCAGCAUUAGCUCAUGUUCUCUCUUCUUGUCUUGCUAUUCUGAUUUUAUCUUUUUCUUUGCAUGAUAUAAGAGCAGGUUCUUACCUCUUGAAGUCUGCCUCAAUCCCCGUAGUCUUCGUCCUCAAUUGGGAAAUGAUCCAAAAUCAACAACUGGUCCGGAGAUAGUUUGAGUGAAAAGAAACAGCUGAGAGAUGAAAUGUGAAGGUUAUGGUGAGAAAUUAGAUGACAAACUUACUUUGUCCUACUAAUGCUUUUGCUUUCAUUGUUUCGAAAGUAAAAGAGACAUAAACAUAAUCAUUUCCUUCCUUUCACUUUCCAGUUUUUCUUUUCCUUUCUUUUAAAAAUCUUAUGCCUUGGGUGAGGAAAUUAGUGGAGCAUUAGAGUUUUGAAAAGACAACAAAAAGAAGCAAUGUCUCAUCUUUUGAUAAGGUGGUACAAGAUACACCAUGGUAUGGUGGUCUUGCAAGAAAUGUCUUAGCUUUUGAUAUGGUGGUCUUCCAUGAUCAGUUUUCGAAAGAUUCGAGUCUCCGUUCUAGUUCAGGUUGGAAGCUAGGCCGAAAGCUAAGAUUCUUUUAUUAGUGGUUGGUGUGGAUGAGUAUUGCAAGAAUGGACUCAAAAGGUCAGCUAAUCCGCUUAAUUAAAUAGUACUGUUACUGUAAACUACUAGGAAAUUCAAGGAAAGUUAACAAUAGCAUUGAUUCGAUCAAGUAGCUCCGGUGUCUAGAGAGGACCUUGCUGUCAAGGAAAUAACCAUAAAAACUAUGGAGCCCACUAUUUAUUAAUCCAUUUCUAUUUACUACUUAUUACUAUUUAUUUAUUUUUAUUAAUUUACUAUAUUUUUGUUUGUGUACCAAUAAAAUUUGAGAUUCCUUCAAUUUUUUAGGUGCAUGGUCUAGUAUAUUGGCUGUAUGUACAAAAUCAAUUCAAGUGUGUGUAUCCUUAACUAGCAGGCUUAGCUAGCAAUCGAUAAUUAAUUUUUAAUGAAUUCAAUUUUUAUUUAAAAUAAGGAAAAAGACAUUGGUGAAUAAAUAGUUUCAUUCCUAUUAUAAUUGUUAGACCUUACCAAAGGGCAAAUUUAGAAAAAGACUAUAACUUAUAGGUCUAACAAUUAAAGAAAAAAGUUUAUUUAGACCUUCCUAUUAUUGGUCAACUUGUGAUUAAGUAGAUCAAUUUAAAUUAAUUAUUUUUAUUAAAAUGAUAAUGUUUUGUUUUUUCUCUUGAUAUUAAUUUGGCUAAUUUUUAUCAAAUCAAUAUUUUAUGUUCAAUCUAGCAUACAGGUUUAACAAAUAUGCUUCCCACUUGCAGUCGUGGUUUGCUGCGGGUAUUUGAUAAUUGGGAGAGGCUUUAGUUUCGUACCUGUUGAUCUGCUUCAUAUACACUUGGACAUUUUAUUUUAUAUUGGUUGGAUCCAAACUUAAUCCAACACAAAAUUAACAUAUUUAUUAUUUAUUUAAGAUAAAUGAUAUGGCUUUAACAUAUUAGCGUACACUUAAUAUGAUUAAAUUUAAUUUUAAUCAAUUAACAUCUCACCGUAAUAAAUUUACCAUUUGCAACCAAAAACAGUCGGCACCUUAUUAAUAUAAUCAAUAUAGUAGAAAAUUAUAGUGAUUUAAAACAAUUCAUUAAAAUGUUUUUAUUUUGUGACCACGGUGGUUCUUGUGUUAUCUUUUAUGUAUUGUCAUUGUCGUACAUGGACGCACGAUAUGGGGGUCAUUUGGAGUCGCUACUUAGUUAUUUAGUUCAAGGUCACUAAAAAACUUAGGUAUACUAGUCCUGUUAGAGAUUCGAGAGUAAAAGAUUAGUUGUGGCUAAAAAAAGUAUUAACACUUCUAGCACACCCUACCCAGAUAAGUUAUUUUGUGAUUAGAUGUGGUUUAGAGAUUUUAAUAGUUUUCUAAUAUAUCUAUAGUUUAGGAUUGGGAUUUGCUUGUAUGAAUAAAUUUGGUGUUUAAUAAUUUAUUAUGGACUCUUGUACCCAGAUAAAUUCUUAGAAAAAAAAAGUUCUUUGUAAUUUGUGUAUUAUGGUAGAAAUUACUUUCAAUAAAAAUUCAUGAAUAUUUAAAAUAACUUGAGGAUUUUAUGAUCAACUCCAAUAUUUCAAAUAUCAGCCUCAUUUAUAGGUAUAACGUUUUAUAUCGAGAUUUUUAACCAUUAAUUCUCAUUAAUUAAAAAAUAGUGGUCUAUUAAAAUAUUGACCAAAUUCACAUGAUUUUAAUAAACUAGUUAUUAAAUUCUAAAAUGCAUAUUCAUAUAUAAUAUUUUAAUUUGUUUUUAAAUACAUAAUAUUUUUAAAAAGUAUGUGCCACAAUACCAAAUUAUAGUAUAAAUUAAAAGAUAAAGGAGUUUUCUCUUCAUCACUAUUCACUUAUAUUCAUUUCACUAUGGAUAUUAAUAGUGAAUUUUUUGAAAAUUUCUAAUUUUGUACUCAAUUAUUUUUUUCACAAUUAAGCUCUUUUAAAUCCAAAUUAAAGCCUAAUUGGAUAUUUUUUCAAGGAUGAGGGUUGAAUUGAAAGACAUAGGACUGAAGUGAAAAACUCGACUAAAAUAAGUUGUGGCUUUGCAAUUUGAUUGCAAAGUUCAUUUUAGUUCCUAUAAUUUUUCAUCAUUGUAUUUUGAUACCAAACUUUAUUUUUCUUUGUUUUUAGUUUUUUUUUGUAGGAGAGAGAUGAUCACCAUAUUUCAUUUUAGAGAGAGAAAGUUGUUGUUGGGGAUUUUGACCACCAAUUUUCUAGGUGGUUUGGGUUAAAAUGGGCUGAAAAAAGGUUAUGGGUUGCAACUGGGUUUUCUACCAAAUUAGUCAAAGUUUUUUCUAGUUUUUUUUUUUAAAAAAAAACAAUUCAACAAGAGAAAAGACUUGUAAAAAAAUAGAAUUACUGAAAGAAACUCAACAAAAAAUCAGACUCAAGCAAUUAAAAAUAAUUUUCUAUGAUAACCAUCUUUGUAUCACACAUUCAGGUAAAUAUGAUUGACCUAUAACAUAAAUAAAGCCCUGCAAACAAUUAAAUUAUGCUUCAAAACCAGCAAGACAAGGUAUAUAGUAUACCAACAAAAAUAGUUUACUAAGUGGCACUUGUUAGUUAAAGCAGUAAUUCCCAUUAAAAAUGCAUUUUGAUUACAUAAUUAAAAUAAUAUAUAGAAAGUGACAAUAAAAUAAUAAUAAAAAUAAUGUGUAAAAGAAACGAAUGAAAGGUUCAAAAGUAAUGAGCUGCUAAUUAUGUGCGAAAACCAGAGAAAUAAGGAUACAAAACGUGAGAGUGAGUCAUUGCAAGUAAAAGAGAGAAUGGGAAUAGGAAUUUUAAUACCUUAACUUGAGAAAAUAUGUGCGAAAAACAUUGGUACUGAUUGCUCAAUGAAAUGGAGAAGGCCUUUAGCUCUGUAUGGAAUCCAGCUUCAAAAGCAACAACGCAAGGUCUAAGCAUUUUGAUGACAUACUUAAGAUAAUAUGCCUAGUAUAUAACAAAGAGAUAGUGACAAAGAAAUGAAGAAAAAUAAUGCGUACAAGUACUCACCUAACAAAGAAAGAAACGAAUGAAAGGUUCAGGAUAAUCACUUAGACGUCUUCAUGGAUGAUAUCAGCUCGCUUCCAACAACAAAUAUAAUUAACCUAAGCUAUGAUCGGUCAAUGUUUUUUUUAGUUUUUUUUUUUUUUAAAAAAAAAGAUCAUCAACGGAAAAGACUUGCAAAGAAGUAGAAUUAAUGGAACGAACACAACAAAGAAUCAAACUCAAGCAAUUAAAAGUAAUUGUCUAUGAGUACCAUCUGUGUCACACACUCAAGUGAGGAGAGAAAUCAAGGAAAAAGAAAGGAAAGGGACAAGGAAGGCAGAAAGUAAGGUCACGUAGGGCUAGUCUUGUAGAAAGUGGGAGAGAGAGAGAGAGAGAGGUUAAAAAGGCUUAAAAAGAAAAGAAAAGGAAAGACAGAAAUAAAGGAAAGGACGUGGAAAUAGAAGGAGAGGUUGAGGGAGGCAGAAACGGAAGGAGACAUUGAAAGAUCGGAAGAGAGCAAAGAAAACAACAUGUUUGAGUGGGAUUUUUUUGUGCCUUUGAUAAAAAUACUCUGUUUUUUUUUCUCUUUGAUUGGGAUUUUUUUGUGUCUCUUUUAUUUGGAAUUUUUUGGACACUUUAAUAAUAUAAUAACAAAAAAUAAUUUGAUUAAAUUAUUGUUCAUUCAAACACAGAUUUACUGUGGACUCCAAUAGUAUUUUUCUCUAUAUUUUGAAUUAUAGUUUUUGAUAGCCAUGUUCGUUUGAUUUUUUUAUUUUUUUUCCAUACUCUUCCAAAUAAUGCAGGAAAUGAGGACCUGAAAUGACAGCAGCGAAUAAGGAGAGAGAUAACGUGUUUGUUCUUGUUUCUUAGAAAGUAUUUUAAAAAAUAUUAAAUUAUAUUAUAUUUUAUUUUUAUUUCUAAUUAAUUUAAAAAAAAAAACAAAUUUGAAGAUUAAUAUGAAAAAAGAGGAUAACAGAGUAGUUGUCCAAAUCAAAACACAUAAAUAUAGGACAAAAACAGGGAUAAUAGAGUGCUCUUUGUUUUCUUAACUGUAUUGGUUUAAUAACGUUUAUAGAGUGUUGUAUAAAUAUUUUAGAUAAAAAAAAAGGUUAAAAGCAAGUUUUUAAAUAAAUAAAAAGCUUUAUUUUUUUAUAUAAUUUAAAUAAAAUCAAUUUACUUAGUUGUUCAGAAUUAUAACUCAAGGGGAAAAACUUACAAAGAAGUAGAAUUACCGGAACAAACACAAGAAAGGAUCAAACUCAAGCAAUGAAAAGUAAUUGUUUACGAUGAUCAUCUCACUAAGUAAGGAGAGAAAAGAAGGAGAAAGAAAGGAAAAGGACAAAGAAGGCAGAAAGUAAGGUCACGUAGGGCCAGUCUUGUAGAAAGUUUGAGAAUUAGAGAGGCUGUUUGCUGCCAAGUGCCACGUGACACAAACGAAGCUACCCCUUACCUACUCCUGGAAAGGAAUGUCAGACUAUACUGCCUUUUUCAAUUCAUUAAUGUCGUUCCCAUCAUAUACAUGUUUUAUAUUCUUAAAAUUGCUCUGUGGGAUUGCAGGCCAUGCUCGUUUGAUUUUUUUUAUAACAAAAUUCUUUCCGUAUAAUUUUCCAACAUUGCACUUGGAUACCAAACUUCAUUUUACUCUUUUUCAAGGUUUUUUUUUGUGGAGAAAAGAGUGGGUCGUUGAAUUUUAUUUCAGAGAGAGAAAGUAAUUUGUUAAUAGACUUAUCAAAUUGGAGGAUUAAACUAAAAAUGUCAUAAGUUCAUGACUAUACUAAAAUUCUUUCCAUAAUUCAUCCUCAAUUUUAUCUAGAAUUUCAAAUUAUGCUCCAGAAACCACUCUGGAAUUUUUUCAAAUUUCUAAGGUCAAAUUAUAAUUUCAUCAAAUUGGAGGAUCAAAAUGAAAAUGUCAUAAAUUCAUAACUAUACUGGAAUUCUACCCAUAAUUCAUUUUUAAUUCUGUCCAGAAUCUUGGAUUAUACUUCAGGGACCAAUCUCUAAUUUUUUCACAGUUCAGGGAUUAAAUUAUAAUUUUUAUAAAUUGAGGGACUAAGCUGAAAUUUCAUAAUUUUCAACCUCAAACCCAGAAUUUACAUAGAUAACCUAUUGAUAUAUCAAGAUUUCUAACUCAAAUUCACCAUUUAAAUAAAUUAUCACUCAAAAUCAUUAUUUUUAUCAAAAAGCUUUUAAAAUCAACUAAAUAACUCGUUAGCAUACAAUGAACCAAUAAUUUUUCUAUAAUGUAAUUGUAAUUCCUAGCAUAAUGCAUAUUGGAGGGCAAGCACAACAACUCAGAGCAAAGAAACUCGAUGAAAUAGGCAAAAAAAAAAGAUUGAAGGACUGAAAUAAAAUAAAACCAAAAAAGAGGGAUGAAAAAAGUAACCGCACUCUGGUUGCCAUAAAAACAUAUUUCUUUUAGUAUAUUUUUUUUAAAAUAUUGUAAUAGGUCAAUCAUAUUACCCGAGUGUGUGACACAGAGAUGAUCAUCAUAGAAAAUUACUUUUAUUGCUUGAGUUUUAUCCUUAGAUGACAAACUUACCUUGUCCUUCUAAUGCUUUUGCUUUCAUUGUUUCGAAAGUAAAGAGACAAAACAUAAUCAUUUCCUUCCUUUUACUUUCCACUUCUUUGUAAUGGAUUGCAAACGGGAUGGUGCUUAGGGGGCCAGUUUUUCUUUUCCUUUCUUUUUAAAAUCUUAUUCCUUGGGUGAGGAAAUUAGUGGAGCAUUAGACUUUUUAAAAGACAACAAAAAGAAUUAAGUAAUGUCUCAUCUUUUGAUAUGGUGGUACAAGAUGCACCAUGGUAUGGUGGUCUUGCAAGAAUGUCUUAUCUUUUGAUAUGGUUGUCUUUCAUGAUCAGUUUGUUGAUGAGGAUAUCAAAAGAUUCGAGUCUCCGUUCUAGUUCAGGUUGGAAGCUAGGCAGAAAGCUAAGCUUCUUGUAAUUAUGAAUUGUUUAUGCAAAGGAAACCCAGAAGCUUGAACAAACAGAAAUGCCUUGUUGAUUUCUCUGCUACUACUCAUUAUUUCCAAUAUUAUUCCAUUAUCUUACCCGAAAGCAAUUAUACAAGAAAUUUAAUUAUCCUGCCCCAAAAGGAAAUUUAUUACAAGGACUUCCUUUAACCUCCUUGAAGGCAAUUUAUUUGAUGAAAAUUCCUUUAAUCCACCUCGAAGACAAUUUAUCUUAGGGAAUUCCAACAACCCAGACAAUUUAUUUCUUGGAAAUUCCUUUAACCCACCCUUAAGGCAUUUUAUCAAAGGGAAUUCCAAAAUCAAUUUAUUUCUUGGACUCGGUAUUCUCUGGUACUAGUUAUUUAUAUAUAAUUUAACAACACUUUUAUCUUACAUUUAAAAAGAAAUUCAAAAGAAAGGAUAACCCUUACCUAGAGCUCCUGUGGUUCUUGUUCCCGAGAGAAUUGGCUCCACUACGGGCAAAUCUACUACCAAAAACCCAAGUUUCAACCAAUCAAUAACAUCAACACCCAUUUUAAUUCAAUGCAAUAAGUUUUUCUUAACCAAUUUACUUGAUGCAAGUUCUUAUAAUCAAAGUGACAGUAUUCGAGGUGAAGACAAGCAGAAGGGCGUGAUAGAGUUUGACAAAGAUCAAGCUAGUUCCAAUAAAGGGAAACACUCUAUGGCCUAUGCAGGCCAAACUGCAAUGGCAUCCAAUAAGUGAGGACAAUCUUGUAUCUUCCAAGUGGCAGUAGAAUUUAAUUAUAACUACCAUUAUUCUUAUCUUUAGUUAGUAAUAUAACUCUAUUUAUUGUAUCUAUUAGGACAUUUUGUAAUGAAAACCUGUUAGUUAUUUGGUGUGAUUCCAAGGAGUGAUUCCUUUGAAUGAUAUCAGGCUCUACUUAUUUCAUAUUCCUUGCAAUUCUUGGAUUCUGCAAUAAAGUUAUCCGAAUUCUUUUCCUCUAUCAAUACUUUCUUGCUAUCUUUUAUAUAAUGUUCAUUAGUUUACAUAAAUUGUUCCUUUAAUAUCGUUUGGUAUUAAUUGAUAUCAGAGCAAGUUUUGAAUUUUGUUCUUCUAUGCCUGGAAUCGCAGUGGAAAUUCUUAUAAUCCCACCAAUAAAAGAUUACAGGACCCAAACCAAUUCUGAACUCCCCGUAGAAAACAUCUCCAAACCCAUUUUGAAUCACCCAACAACAAGCAUCUCCACAACCUAUUAUGAACCCCAUAACAAGCACCUAUUAUGAACCCCCAUAACAAGCAUCUCUACAACAUGAUUCUACUUGUUAAACCAGUUACAACCACAAAUGGAGUUGGUUACCCGCACCUUGGGAGCCAUUGUUGAACAUCUGGAUAACAGUGAAGAAAGGAGUAAUAUUGAUGAAAAUUGAAGGGGCAGAGUUGAUCAAGGAGGAGAUGUGGCUAUAGAUGAUGAAGAAGUAGGAGAACAUUAGCUCAAUUCAGUCUACAGUAACAGGGAGGUCAAAAUUGAAAGAUAUGACUAUUUUCAUUAAUUUUAUUAAAGCUUAUAAUAAAACGUUGUGUUUUUAAUUGGAAUUUUUUUUUUUAUAUGGCUUGGCUUUUUUAUUUUUUUUAAAUGCAAUCUCCUUCCCUUUAUCAUACAGAAAUCCAGUUUUGAGUUUAUGUAACUAUAUUAACAAAACGAUUAAAUGCUUUCGUGUCAGUUUAAUUAUUUAUAUAAAUAAUAAACCCAGUUAAUAUAUUUUUUAAUCAGUUUAUGAUAUAUUUGUCUCAUAGUUGAGUUAGUUAAUGUAUGUUGAUUGAUCCGAAGGUAGUGGGUUCAAGCUAUACUAGGAAUAAUAUUAUGUUUUUUCAAAUUAGUAGCAAAGGCGUGUGGGCUUGUCUCAGGCUCACAUGCUAGUGCCUGAGUUUUACUGUAAUAGACCCUAUCAUAUUAGGCCACGUAAGCCGGAGUGGUUGGAUAUUUUUUUAUUGGUCAUUUUAAAUUUUUUUAUUUUUUUAAUAUAAUUUUUUAAUUUUAUAUUUUAAUGUUGAGUUUUUUUAUUGAGUUUUAUUUGUCAAUAUUGAAUUUAUUAUAAAUUAAUUUUUGUAUUUUUUAUUAUAUAUAAAAUAAAAAAGUUUAAUUUAAAUUAAUAGAGUUUAUAAUCCGAGUAAAGUAUUUGGUGGGUUAGUUAUAAACCUGAACUUUUUUAUUUUUUAUUUUUUGGAAAAGUAAAAGACAAAUUAAAAAAAUAAAGUAAUCUAUCUUUUUGAUAAGGUGGUCCAAGAUGCACCAUGAUACGGAUGUAUUUUAUUUUAUUUUUGCCUUUUUCUUUUAAAAAUGUUAUCUAAGAUGGAAAUACUUGCAUCAUGAGUAUGUAUUGGCCUACAAAUCCAAGCUAUUUGUGAUCAGGAUAACCUAUCAUGUCAGAAUCUUUCUCUAGAUCCACAGAAAGUAGUGGAGCAUUAGAGUUUUUAAAAGACAAAACGGGGACAAGUGGGAGGCGAAGAAAAAGACAAUAGUAGGUGGUCUAAGAUACAUCUAUAUAUGACAAUAAUAAAACAAGCCUUUAAAACAACUCUGAAAACAAAUUUUUUUAUAAUUCAUAAUUUAUAAACACAUGCGAUAAAAUAACACUAUUAGAAAUUCGUUAAAUAGCAAUGAAUUUACCAACAAAAUAUUUCUGUCGGUAAUUUAAGGUCGAAAUUACCGACGAAACUUUUUUCGUCCAUAGUUCAGUCGGUAACUGCCGACGGACACUUUUCGUCGGUAGUUACCGACUGAAUUACGGAUAGAAAGUUCAAAAUUAAAAAAAAAUAGACGGGCCGCUGACGUGGAGGUUUUGGCUGGGUGAUUUUUUUCGACGAAUUUAAAAUGACAAUGUUGUACAGUCACGUGACCUGCUCACCGUUAAAAAUACCGAUGGAAUCACCGAGGGAUUACAGGACCCAUUUGAACUCCCCGUAGAAAACAUCUCCAAACCCAUUUUGAAUCACCCGCAACAAGCUUCUCUACAACAUGAUUCUACUUCCUUGUUAAACCAGUUACAACAACAAAUGGAGUUGGUUACCCGCACCUUGGGAGCCAUUGUUGAACAUCUAGAUAACAUUGAAGAAAGGAGUAAUAUUGAUGAAAAUUGAAGGGGCAGAAAUGAUCAAGGAGGGGAUGUGGCUAUAGAUGAUGAAGAAGUAGGAGAACAUUAGCUCAAUUCAGUCUACAGUGACAGGGAGGUCAAAAUUGAAAGAUAUUACUAUUUUCAUUAAUUUUAUUAUAGCUUAUAAUAAAACCUUGUGUUUUUAAUUGGAAUUUUUUUUAUAUGGCGUGGCUUCUUUCUUUUUUUUUAAUGCAAUCUCCUUCCCUUUAUCAUACAGAAAUCCAGUUUUGAGUUUAUGUAACUAUAUUAACAAAACGAUUAAAUGCUUUCGUGUCAGUUUAAUUAUUUAUAUAAAUAAUAAACCCAGUUAAUAUAAUUUUUAAUCAUUUUAUGAUAUAUUUGUCUCAUAGUUGAGUUGUUAAUGUGUGUUGAUUGAUCCGAAGGUAGUGGGUUCAAGCUGUACUAGGAUUAAUAUUAUAUUUUUUUCAAAUUUAUAGCAAAGGCGUGUGGGGCUGUGGGCUUGUCUCAGGCUCACAUGCUAGUGCGUGAGUUUUACUGUAAUAGACCCUAUCACAUUAGGCCACAUAUGGUUGGAUAUUUUUUUUAUUGGUCAUUUUAAAUUUUUUUACUUUUUUUAAUAUAAUUUUUUAAUUUUAUAUUUUAAUGUUAAGUUUUUUUAUUGAGUUUUAUUUGUCAAUAUUAAAUUUAUUGUAAAUUAAUUUUUGUAUUUUUUAUUAUAUAUAAAAUAAAAAUAAUAAUUUAAAUUAAUAGAGUUUAUAAUUCGAGUAAAGUAUUUGGUGGGUUAGCUAUAAACCUUAACUUUUUAUUUUUUAUUUUUUAGACGAGUAAGAGACAAAUUAAAUAAACAAAGUAAUCUCAUCUUUUGUUUUUUUUUUUUUUGUUUUGCCUUUUUCUUUUAAAAAUGUUAUCUCCUUGGUAAGGAAUCCUUGGUUCCCAACAGCAACUGUAGCAGAGUUGACGGUUGCGUAAAAACAAAUCUCUAAACUCCACCGAAAGUAGUGGAGCAUUAGAAUUUUUAAAAGACAAAACGGGGACAAGUAGGAGACGAAGAAAAAGACAAUAGUAGGUGGUCUCAGAUACACCGUAUAUAUGACAACAAGACAAUUGACCGUGCGAUGCGCGAGUUAUUUUUUUUACAUAAAAAAUAUUAAAAUAAAUAAAAGUUUAAAAAUUUUGAGUUUUUCUGUAAAGUUAUACAUAAGAAAUUUAAGUUUGGCUGCAACGCCUGACCUAAGAGUAAUAUUUAUAAUAUUAAUAAUAAAAUUAAACUUGCUUGACCCAAGUUUAAGUGAGCCUGACUGCAACACCGGACCCAAGAAUAUUGGAUGUGGGUCUAAAUAUAAGGUCGUGUCAUAAAAGUGUUAUAAUUAAAUAGAUUGAUUAAAAAAAACAAAGAAAAAAAAUCAACAGAAAGGAAAAAACUAAUGAAGAAAAAGAAAAAAAAUUGAAUUAAUUGGGUUAACCCUUUAAACCAGGUUAUCCCGUAAAACCUGGGAUUCACAUCAUAAAAGUUUGAUAACUAAAUAAAAAAAUAAAUGACGGGUUUACCCAGAAUUAACUGGGUUAACCCAUUAAACCAAGUUAACCCGUCAAGCCCAGGACACGUGUCAUGAAAGUAUGAAAGUCUGAUAAUUAAAUAGAAGAAAAUUAACUUUAACAAACUAAACUAAAUGAAAAAAAUAAUUUAUCAAAUCAGGCUAACCCAUCAAAUCCAGAUCGUAUCAUGAAAAUCUGAUAACUAAAUAAAAAAAAAUAACAUUAACAAACUAAAUCAAACAAAAAAAAUUCAUUAAAAAAAUUAAAAAGAAAAAAAGGAAAAAAAUAGUUAUAUAAUAUAAUAUAAUAUAAUAUAAUAUAAUACAAUGUAAUUAUAAUUAUAAUUAUAAUUAUAAUAAUAUAAUAUAUUAAUAAGUAAAUAUAUUAGUAAAAGGUGUGACAUGCCCGCGCGAUGCGCGGGCUUGGCAUGCUUGUGCAUUAUUGUGGAUUUGUGAAAAAAAUCAUAUAAAAAAAAUGUUACAUCCACAAUAUUUUAAAGGAAAAAACUACAAAGCUAUAUUCUCAACCAGCUUAAUAUUAAAAAAAAAAUCGACAAAAACAAUUAUAAAAAAAAAAAAAAAAAAGAAGAUGACAAUUUUGGAAGAAAAAAAAGCAAAAAGCAAAUAAUAAAUAAAAAAAAACAUGUGGGGAAAGUUAAAGCUAAAUUUUCAACCAGCUAAAAUCAUUUAAGAAAACACUGUAGCAAUCUAUAGUGUUUUGUGAGAAAUAUACAACUAUAAUUCUCAACCAGCUCAAUAUUAAAAAAAAAUCAAUAAAGAUAAUUUUGACAAAUAUAAAAAAAAAACGAAAGGAAAAAAAAACAUUCAUGGAAACACUAUAACAAUCUAUAGUGUUUCAUGAGAAAAUCUACAGUUGUAAUUUUUAACCAGCUCAAUAUCAAAAACAAUAAAAACGACAAAGACAUUUUAAAAAAAACAUAACAAAAAAAGCAUAUGGAAAAACACUGUAGCAAUCAACGAUGUUUUAAGGAAAAAAACUAAAUUGUUAGCCAUUCAGUAUGAAAAAAAUAAAUUUGACAAAAACAUAUUUGGAAAAAAAACAUCGACAAAAAAAAAUGUGGGGAAACACUGUAGCAAGGAAAAAUCAUAUGGGAAAACACUGUAGUAAUCUACAGUGUUUUAAAUAACUACAAAGCUAAAUUCUCAAUCAGCUUAAUAUAAAAAAAAUAAAAUCGACAAAGAUAAUUAUGAAAAAAAAAUUAUUUAAUAAAAAGACAUGUAGAGAAAUGACUAUUCACUAGACUUGUAGAUAUUAAUUAUAAAGUUUUUGAAAGUUUUCAAUCUAGUAUUUGAUUUUUUUGUUUGCAUAAUUGAAUCUCUUUGAACCCAAAUUAAAAUUUAAUUGCAUAUAUUAUUUUAAGAAAAUAGUUUGAAAAACAAAAAACUGAAGUAGAAACCCAGUAAAAAUAUGUGGUGAUACUAUAAUUUAUUUGUAAAGUUUAUUUUAAUUUCUUAUUUUUUUUAAAUUACUAGGUAAUAUGUCCCUAUAAUUUCUUGAAAUUGCAUUUUGAUACCAAAUAUCACUAGUUGUUUUUUUUAAGGAGAAAGAGUUAUUAUUAAGUAUUUUAACUAUCAAAAUAGUUGAUUUUUUAUGAUAAAUAAUUCCAUAAUCUGGCUUUCUUUUCAAAGUCCAGCUAAGUUUUUGGCUUAUUAUGUUCACAUAGAGAGGUGGGAUUUUAUAAGCCAUGCAAUAUAUUUUUUUUUUUGGUAACCAAACAUAACCACAAGCCCAAAAGAAAACAAUUUUAACAAUACCCACCAAACAGUUGAAGUGCUAUGUAGUAAUGAUUUUUUAGAAUUGUAUUUUUUUUUGGUAAGAUAUUGAAGUAUUUUUUAUUUUUAAUAUUAAUAUAUUAAAUUAUAAAAGAAUAUUUAAAAAAUAUCAAUUUAAUAAUUUUUAAAAUAAAUAAUUUUUAAUUUAAAAAAUAUCUAAAAAUAAAAGAUACCAUACUCCUGAACGAGCUAUAAAAUCAAUCUAAAAUUUUUAUAAACUCAAUUUACAAGCUGGGUACAGAAGUAUCAACACAACUACUUGAGAGACUGUUUAAAAUCAAUCCUUUUUAAAAAUAAAAAAACUCCUUAGUUGUUAAGGAAAGAUUGGUAGUGUGAACAAAUCACCAAAGUCAGCAGCAAGGAAGUUCCAGGAAGUGGGCAGCCUUUCUUCUGCUGCCAUUGUAAAAUCAUAUAUUUAAAAUACAGUAAUAAAAAUGUAAUACGCAGCUAAUUAAUGUAUUAAGCAGCUAAUUAAUGAUGUUGUUCUUUCUUCUUGUUUUUCUAUUUUGAUUUUAUUGUAUUUUUUCAAAAAAAUUAUGAUUGUGAAAGCUAGCCAAAGCAUUAGUUCCAAGCAAUCUAUGAGGUUAUUUAACAGUGUGGUUGUCAUUGCUUUUCAAUGUAUUUUUCAUUCGAAAAUACAUCAAAAUAAUAUUUUUUUUUCUUAAAAAUUAUUUUUAAUAAACAUAUCAAAAUAAUCUGAAAACACCAAACAAUUAUUAAUUUGAAGUAAUUUUUUUUUAAAAAUGCUUUUAAAACACAAAAAACAAACAGAAAAACUAGUGUAGGUGCGCUCAACAUUGUCCCGAGAUACUUUUAUAAUCUAAGUUUUUUAAUAUAUUUUUUAUUUAAUUAUGCAAUAUAUUCAUAGAAAACACCCAAAAUAAAAUUAUAGACAAAAAAUAUAUAUUUCAUCAAAAUUCUCUAGUCUAAUUCAUGUAUUUUUCUUCAAAAAAAAGUUUUUGAUGAUAUGAAAAGUAAUAACAACCAGGAAAAGUCUCCUAAGAAACUGUAAUGAUUUGAACUAAAAAAAUAUUUUUUUGUUGAAAACAUAGUUUUUUUAAUUCAUGAAUUUUUUUUAUUGAAAAGAAAUGUACUUUUUAUGAGUAAUUUUAUUUUGCUCAAAUGUCCCUAAUACAUAAUUAUUCAUAAAAUAUUGAAAAUAUCAUAAUAAAAAUGCCUAAUCUUCUUAAAAACAAUUAAAUAAUUGAACAAUCACUUAAAUAUUAUUUUAAUAAAUUGGAUUGAAAGAUUUUUUUUUAUUAAAAAUAAAGAAUAAAAAAAAUGAAAUGAUAUCUAAGAUAAAGGUUAUACAAGCCUUGAAAGAUAAUAUAUGUACGUGUAUAAUACAAAUUAAUAAAUUCUAAGUAGCAAUAUUUAAUGCAAGUUUAAGAAUAAGAGUUUGCUUUGUGUUUUGUUGUGAGAUUAACCAUAUCAAAUUAUAUAUUUAAUAAUAAAUAACUGUGUUGUGUUAUGAGUAAAAUCAAUAAAUUAUUUGGUGUUCUGCUAUCUUGUUGUUUGAAUUAAAAUUAUUAUUAAGAAUAUAAAUUAAAUAAAAUAUUGAACAAACUAAAUGAAUUGCUUAAUAAAUAAAUAAUUUUUUUUUUUAGAAAGCAUGGAAAUGCCAUGACAUUGGCUUUUUAGAUAAUACUACAAUAUUAACAGCCAAAGAAAUCAUCGAUAGCUGUGUAAAUCAUCGAAACUGCCACAAAAGCAGGAGAGGUAUUUCUUUUGGCAACACAUAAAUGAAAAAGAAUAAGAGUUCCUAGAUCUGAAAUAGGAGGAUAUAAUAGAUAUGCAAUAUGAGAGGAGGUUCCAAGAUUUAUUUAUCUUUGCCACCAUUUACAUUUCCACCGAGCAUCAUCUAGUAAAACAAUUCCGGGAUGGACUUAGACAUGAGCUGAAGCUAACCUUGAUAACUAUACAAUUCCGGGAUGGACUUAGAAUUGGUGUGGGCUAGAGGAUAAUGAAUAACACUAUGAAGCCAACUAAUAAGCAGAGUCAAGUAAAUUGUUCAUAAUGAAUAACACUAUUUAAGAGAAGAGACUUUAUGCAUCCUACAAAGAGGACCCCUCCAAAAAAAAAAAGAAAAAAAAAAGGAUAGUCGUUCGAGCAAUUUCAUGGAAGAAGGGGGAGCUUUAUUCACGGGGAAAAUUCAGGGGGAGCUAAAUGCUGGAGCUUUAUUCAUAGUUGGAUCAUUUGUGAUUUUAGUGUUUGCUACUCUCAGUACUUAUAUUAGAAGUGCUCUCAUCUUUGAAGGAAUGUAAAAAAUUGUUAAUAUGAAACUUAUUAUGUAUAGAAAAUUGUUGUUUUUUUUUUUUUUGGGUUUGAAUUAAUAUAAACAUACACAAUUAGUUGAAUUUCAAGAAUGAGCGAAUUUCAAGAAUGAGCUAACUUAAGAAUAAUCAUAAGUAUGUUUUUGUUAGAAAUAACUUUUUACUUAAAUAAAAAAUGUGUUGCAAAAUUGAUUUAUAAGUUUCUUUUUUCUUACUUUUAAAUCAUGGAUUGCAUCUUACACAAUAUUUUUGUUAAUUAAAAAAUAGUUAAUUUGAGUUGUUUUUAUUAAACAUCCUUAUAAUUAAUUCAUUUUCACAGUGAAUUAUUUAUUAAAAACAAAUUAAGAUUAACACUUAAAAAAAAAUAAAAAAAUAAUUCAAGAAUCAUAUUAAAAAAUUCUUAAUUUCUCACAGCACAACAAAAUGCUUUAAAAGAAAGCUAAUAAUCUGACAGGAGGUGGGGCUGCUCUUAGCCAAUGAAAACAGCUUCACAUGCAACACAUCAACAUGAAAAAAAAGAUUAUCAGCCUGUUUUUUCCUUAAAGAACACCCUCUUGGAUUCUCUAGCAUUAGCCACAAAGGUAUCUGCUUGGAAAAACCAUUCCACAAUCUAGAAAUUUAAAUGCCCAAAAAUACAUCGAUUGACAACAAGUCACAUGCCCAUACAUACAUUAACAUUGAUUUCAGAUCUUUUACAAAUUCUAAUCUUUGUAAGAAGCUGUUUUGCUGCCCAUCGGAUGUGACCACCUGACCAGAAGACAAUAUUAUAUUUUUUAAACCCUUCACUCUCAUAAACAACAAUUUAUAUGAUUAUAAAUAGGAUAAAAUAGGAUUACAUAUUUUUAGAAAUUACCUAUUACUGUUUUAGUUUUUUUUUCCUUAAUUAGAGAUAAGUUGAAUAAAGUAGUAACAAUUAUAUUUUUGAGAGAAAAAGUAACUACAACUCCUAAUAAUUAGUUUCGUGUAAGAAAUAAAAAUAAUUAUGUUAAUAAACUUUUAAAGAUAUUUUAAUUGAAUUAAGUAUUUCAACACAAAAUUUAUGCUCUUAUACAGUUAUAUAUUAAUUCUAACAAAAAAUAUGAUUUCUAUGUUUAAAUGUUGGUAUUAAUAACGGAUACAACAAUGAGGCAGUUAAGUUUGGUGGAUAAAAUAAAAUCAUUAAUAAAAUAAAAAUAAGCUAGUAUGUUUGUUACAUAACUAAAAAUAUUUAAUUUUUUUAUAUAUAUUUUUUUAAAUUAUUUUAAUAUGCUGAUAUCAAAAAUAUAUAUUAACAAGUUUUUAUUUCAAAAAUAAUAAUAAUAAUCCUUUGCUAGAAACUUAACAAAAGCCUUUUAUAGGUGCUCCCUCACGCGUCGUCUUAGUUGCUGACCAUUGAUUGCUCAUUGCUUGAUGCGUGGAGAUAGGAUCAGAUUUUUAAAGCUAAAUCUUGCAUCAAGGGUGGCUACUGGUAUUGAUGUCAUUUUCUUAGGUCAAUGAACAUUAUUUUUUUACAAUUUUAUAUUUUCAUGUAAUGUUUUGUGAUAUUUUAUCCUUGCAUUUUCUUGACAAUUUAAUGUGUUUUGUUGCAUUUUCUUUUAAAAUUAGAAAAAAACUCAAAAAAUGUCUUUUCAGUAGUUUUAUUCAUUUCGUUAUUUUUUUCAUUUAUUUUUUGUGUGUCAAGAAAUCUUGAAAAAAACAAUAUAAAAAUACAAAAAAUAAAUAAUAUAAAAAUAUGUAGUUGGGGUUGCAAUUGGACCAAUAUUUGAGUAUCACAAGUAAAAAUAAAAUUUGUAAAUUUUUAAGUCAUAAUUAAGAUUCGAAUUGAAGAUAAAUGGGCUAAAAUUGGCUAAAAUUGAAAGAAAUUGAAGUUCAAGGAUGAGUUUGGAACAAAUAGCCAAGUUAGAAAACCAAUUAAGAGCUUUAUUGAAGAAACAAAUUGAAAUUGGAAUGCAAUUUGACUCAAAACAAUGAAGAAUUGAAGGACCAAAGCCCUUAAAUGGAUAAAGCCGAUAAUUCAGAGGUCAUAUUCUGUCAGGGUUUUACUUGAAAGAAAUUUUUUAAAAAAGGUGAAAUGACCGAACUAAGGAAGAUUCAAAAACCAAUGAUUAAAAUGCAAAAAACGCUGAAAUGCAGGGACUUACAUGAAAAUGGGCCUAAUUUAAUUAGAAAAGAAACCCCAGGGCCUAAUUAGAAAACCUGUUACAAAUAAAGUGAAAACGAUGUGUUUUCUUGGGACUAGAGUUCAAAUUGCCAACAAACUCCUCUUGCCAUUCCCUAAUUGCACUGAGCCAGCUAAUCUGGAUGAAAGUUAUCGAUAGCUGUGAAAAUCAUUGAAACCGCCACAAAAGCAAACUCAAAUUAGUUAUGAAUUGGAUUCGAUGGAAGGAAGAUGGGAAGAGGGGAAAUUAAAGAGAGAUGAAGAUCUGCGCAUGGCUACCUGUUUUUGAGAGAAUUAUGGAAAGUUAUCCCAACUCAAAACGGCACCAAUUAUAAGUUCAGUAAAAAAAAUCUGGAACACAACAGAUGGAAAAAACUGCUACAAUUUAGGCAAGAAAUUCAGAAUGAGCCAAGAUUUCAAGUGAGAUGAAACUUUUUGUCUCACUUUUUUUUUUUUUUUUUUUUUAAUAGUAUCAUGGAUAACUAAACAGAGGAACGUUAAGAGGAUAGAAUAUUUAGAAUCACUAGCAAUAGCCAGCUGCUAGGUAUCUGCUCGAAAAACCCUUACUAUUAAUGCUAGGCAGUAAGGUUCUACUUAUAAUUUAGAAUUAGUUCUCAGCAACUUCACAGUUUAACUAAAACAUUUCUUAGCAAGUCUUUUGUAAUGAAUAAAGUAGCCAGGAUCAUUUCCAGCAUACUUCCACCUUUAACGAAGCAAUUAGGGUUUCUAGCAACUUUAACUUGCUAUUUUUACAAGUUUAACUCUUAUCAUGAACAUUGGCAUUUAAUGGAAAUUCAGUGCAGGAUAAUAAGGAAUUAAGCUUCAUGAAACAUGAAAUAAUGCAAGAGUUAAACAGGCUCUUGAUUUCCAACAUCACAAGCUAUAUGCCUAGAAAGAAGCUUGUGAAAGGGUUUGUAAUUAAGCAGCAAACAAUUAGAAAUCAGAGGAUACAUUGCAAUUGCCAGCAAUGUAUCUGCUCGAAAAAACCAUUCAACAAGGGGUUCUGCGAGGAAAACAUGAGAUUGUUCAUACAAUAGAUUGGAUAUCAGUUUCAAACUUUUGAACAAAUAAUACAACAUCAAGUCUCAGUCAUCACAUGAUCAUACGAAAACAUUUAUUCAAGAUCUUAAGCGGCAUUGCCAGGCCCAUUUCCAAAACCACAUAAGCAUAUGCAAUAGAAACAGAGCAUCAAACUGACAGAGAAAACAUACUGAUGCAGCAAAUACCCAAGUCGUAGAGCCAUUAAUUUGAGUAGAAAGGAGAAUGAAAGUCCACACAUUAAACAGUACGCACAUACAUGAGUAGACAUUAUGCUGUUUUUGAAGAUUCAGACACUUCAAAAGAAACUCAAAUGGGCCAACACACACUUAUUUUUGGGAAGUUCACACAGCAAACACGUACAUAGAUAAGUCGAAAUCUUCUUUUGGUAAAUAAAAUUGUUACAAUGUGAAGCCAAUUUCAAUCCCAUUGCCAAUGAAACAGUUGGAAUUAUUUCCACCAAUCUAAAACAUAUUCCAUGUAAUAGGUAACAUGGACAACCUUGCCUGAUGCAAACAUGAAGAACAAAGACAUGAAUAUCCGUGAAAUCGCCUAAGGUGGAGUUGAUCAUGUAAUAGGUAACCAACCUUGCCUGAUGCAAACAUGAAGAACACAGACCAUCCAUGCAUAUCGCAUAUGUUAAUUUAAUUCGAACUUUAAAAGUUGAAGGAAAAGGAGAGCAGAUAAAUAAUUGCAGCCAUAUCACCUGGUUUGGGCAAGAAAGAAUUAUUAGACUAGCAAACAUCAUCAUCACCAUACUCUUCUACUUCUUCUUUCCACCCAGUAUCUCGGGUCCGCUCUCUAUUAGUUCUUGAAUCUUCAGCUACUUGAGAUAUCUGUAAACCAAUUCAAGCAUGGCAUACACAUUCUAACUUGUAAAUCUUAUUAUUGAGCGAAAUAAGAAACAAACACACUAAAAGAGAUGCAAGAAAUCAAGUCAAAUCUACAGCACCUCUGAUUGAGCACUCAUUGAACCAUCUGGUGUAAUAGCAAAUUUUGUGCUCAACUUUGUGCAUUCAUACACCUUCAACUUCUCCAAACGUGGGAAUAAGAAAUCACAACAUCCGAAACUGAAGAGGACAAUACUUGAUAAUUGUUUUAGCAACAGCUCCUUUAGAUCGGAAAGCACCAUCUCCUUCUCAACAUUGACAGGUGAAGCAUGAUCAUCCUGCCCAAAUACUCCCAAUACUUGAGAGGAUUUUGUUACUCUAAGUAUUUGGAGCUUUGGGAGACUUAAAGCCAUGGCUACUGGGAAAAGGCUCUUCAACGUGUUGCAUUCUCUAAUCUCAAUAUGACUUAAAUUGGGAAAGCAUAAAGAUCGAAGAGGAUCUCCUAACAAUAUCUGGUCGUUUUCAUCAUCAUCCUUAGCAAUGAUUUGCUCUAAUUCCUCACAGGACAAUAUCUUUAGAGUUUCAGUUGAACUAGAUUGAUAAUCAUGCUGCAUGUGAAUACAUGUGUCAGUCUCUUACAAUUAACCACCUCUAAAGUAGUCAAUUUGCUCAGCACAAGACCCUUCCAUAUACACCUCAUGUCAGGUAGGGAUUCCAAGUAUAAUGUUUCCAAAUUUGUCAGCCCCUGCAUCAAAAGAAAACAAGGAUACCAAUUUGUUAGAUAUAAUUCCUAAUAAAUUUGGUGCACUUUGGAACUAUAUAAUUUAAGUAAAUAAAUAAACGACUUGUCCCCAAUACUUCAGCCAAAAACUUAACAACAAAAGGAUACAAGUAGACAUGGCAACAGGGCAUAGGAACAUGAAAUCAGAAGUUGCAGGACUGAAAGAGACAAACUCAAUAUAAGAUGGAGGUUUAUCUUCCUUUUCAAAUACUUCCAUUAAUUGGGGGAAGAGCCUCAAUUUCACUCAAACUUUGGAAAGCAUAAAGAUUGAAAAAUCUAGGUAGGAUUUCAUUACAAUAAUUAUUUGUUCUAGUGACAGCUACCACAAAUUAGGAAGCACCAUCUCCUUCUCAACUUUGAUAGGUGAAGCAUGAUCAUCUUGCACAAAUACUACUAAUAAUUGAGAAGCUUCACUUACUUUCAGUAUUUGGAGCUUUGGGAGACCUGAAGUCAUGGCUAUUGGGAAGAUACUCUUCAACUUGUUGCAUUUUCUGACAUCAAUUUCACACAAAUUGGGAAAGCAUAAAGAUCGGAGAAGAUCUUCUAACAAUAUCUGGUCGUUUUCAUCAUCAUCCUUAGCAAUGAUUUGCUCUAAUUCCUCACAGGACAAUAUCCGUAGAACUUUCAGUUGAACUAGACUGACAAUCAUGCUACAUGUGAAUACAUGUGUCAGUCUCUUACACUUAACCACAUCCAAAGUAGUCAAUUUGCUCAGCGCGAGACCCUUCCAUAUACACCUCAUGUCAGGCAGGGAUUCCAAGCAUAAUGUUUCCAAAUUUGUCAAACCCUGCAUCAAAAGAAAACAAGGAUACCAAUUUGUUGGAUAUAAUUCCUAAGAGAUUUUGUGCACUUUGGAACUGUAUAAUUUUGGAAAAUAGAUGAACGAAUUGUCCCCAAUACUUCAGCCAAACACUUAUCAACAAAAGGAUAUAAGUAGGCAUGGCAACAGGGCAUGGGAACAUGAAAUCAAAGUUGUAGGACUGACAGAGACAACUCAAUAUUAGCAGAUGGAGGUUUAUCUUCCUCUUCAAAUACUUCCAUUAAUUGGGGGAAAAGCCUCAAUUUCACUCAAACUUGGAAAGCAUAAUGAUUGAAAAUCUAGGUAUCAUUUCAUUACAAUAAUUAAUUUCUUACUUCUUAAGCCCUGCAUCAAGAGACAGGGAAAGAUACAUUUAGACAACUCCUUUUAAAUAUAGUGGAUGGCUAAUGGAUUUAUCUCCACUUAUCAUAGUGUAUUGAAGUUGACAAUUUAAAUAAAAAAGGAAAAAAUUAUUGGAGAAAUAUAAAGGACGUACUUGUAGCUGUGCCGACAAAUUACCCAAUUCUUCAUGGACAGAGAUGCAUAGAUUUUGCAAAGAAGGUAAUUGGGCAGCAAAAUUCUUCAAACCAAAAAAGCUGUAAUUUGAUCUGGAAAAAAGCUCCAAUUUUCUUAGUCGAGGGAACUUGAUGAUGCCAUCUCUGGUGAGUGCAUCUCCUUCUCCACUGUGAAAUAUUUGCUUUAAAUUGUCAGCAAAUUCAAUCUCCAUCUCUUCCAGGUUCAGAAGGCUUGGAGACACAGAGAUAGGGAAGACAUAUUCCAGUUUACAACACUUUUCUAUGAAGAUAAAUUUUAAUUCUGGGAAGCCAGGAGACUCUGGAAUUAUCUCCCAUUCACCAUCCUCUUCUUUGAUAAUAUGCUUCAAUUCACCACAUUUUUCUAUCUUAAGUGUCUGCAGUUGUGGUAGACUCUGAGCGAGGGACGAUGUGAAGAUAAAUGUCAGUUUGUCGAGAGAAUACAAAUUCAGAAGAGUAAGACUUUGGAGGCUGACAUGUCUGGUGGACCCUUCCAUAUACAUUUAAGCUCAGGUAGCUCUCGCACCUGUAACUUUGUUAAAGAUGACAGCAGCGGCAGCUCCUUCUCCUCACUGCUUCCUUCAUCAGCCUCACCCAAUUCAAAUACCUCUUCCAAUGAUUUGCAGUCCUUUAUUUCCACACUCUUUAGAUUUUUCAGAGCUUGCAGCAAUUUUGCUGGAAACGGAGUGCGGACAUCCCCACAAUCCCUCACUUCUACAAAUUCUAAUCUUUGUAAGAAGCUGUUUUGCUGCCCAUGGCCAUGGGCAACCAUCUGAUCAGAGAACAAUAUUAUGUUUUUUAAACCCUUCACUCUCAUAAAAACAAUUUAUAUGAUGUAUAAAUAGAAAAAAAAAAUAGGAUUAAAUAUAAAGUACAUACUUGUAGCAGUGCCAACCAAUUACUCACUUCUUUCCACCCGUUAUCUCUGGUCCACUCUCUAUUAAUGCUUAUAUCUUCAGCUACUUGAGAUAUCUGUAAGCAAUUCAAGCAUGGAAUACACAUUCUAACUUGUGAAUCUUAUUAUUGAGCGAAACAAGAAACAAACACACUAAAAAGAGAGAUAAGAAAUCAAGUCAAAUCAGCAGCACCUCUGAUUGAGUACUCAUUGAACCAUCUGGUGUAAUAGCAAAUUUUGUGCUCAAUUUUGCGCAUUCAUACACCUUCAACUUCUCCAAACAAGGGAAUAAGAAAUCACAGCAUCCGAAACUGAAGAAUAAAAUACUUGGUAAUUGUUCUAGUGUCAGCUCCUGCAGACAAGAGAGCACCAUCUCCUUCUCAACAGUUAUAGGUGCAGCUUGAUCAUCCUGCCCAAAUACUCCCAAAAAUUGAGACGCUUUUGUUAUUUUAAGUAUUUGGAGCUUUGGAAUACCUGAAGCCAUGGUUAUUGGGAAGAGACUCUUUAACUUGUUGCAUUCUUCAACCUCAAUUUCACACAAACUAGGGAAGCAUAGAGAUAAGAGAUGAUCUCCUGACAACAUCUGAUCCUUUUCAUCAUCAUCCUCAGCAAUGAUUUGCUCCAAUUCCUCACAACUUGAUGUCUUUAGAACUUUCAGGUGCACUAGAUUAGCAAUCAUGUUGUAUGUGAAUACAUAUGUCAGUCUCUUACACCCAUUCACCUCCAAAAUAGUCAAAUUGCUCAGCACACGACCCUUCCAUAUAUACCUCAUGUCAGGCAAGAAGUUCAAGUAUAAUGUUUCCAAACUCCGGAGUGAAAGUUCAUGCCCACCUCUUCUAUCAGUUACAAAACUUACAACCUGAAUUCCAUCUUUUAUUCCUCCGCAUUCUCUAAUAUAUAUAUGUCUCAAAUCUGAAAGCCCCUGCAUCAAAAGAAAACUACUUUGGAACUAUAUUAUAACUUUGGUACCCCAAUUUGUUGGGUAUAAUUCCUAAUAAUUUUUGUGCACUUUGGAACCAAUUAUCCCCAAUACCUCAGCUAACUACUUAUCAACAAAAAGAUAUAAAUAGACAGGGCAAUAAGGCAUGGGGAUAUGAAAUCAUAAGUUGCAGGACUAACACAUACAACUCAAAUUAAGCUCAAUAUUGGCAGUUGAAGUUUUAUCAUCCUUCCCAAAUACUUCCAAUUUUAGGGAAGAGCCUCAAUUUCACUCAAAUAAAGAUUGAAAAUACAUGUCUCAGUUCAUUAUUUUCUAACUUCGUAAGCCCUGCAUCAAGAGACCGCGAAUGAAGUAGUUAGAGAACUCCUUUUAAAUUCAGUGGAUGCAUUUAUCUCUACUUAAUUAGGUUUUAGAAAUUUGGAGGAAGAAGGAAGAAAUUUUAAAGUUGACAAUUUAAAUGAAAAGGUACAAAAUUAGCAGAGAAUAUAAACGAAUGGUUAGAUUUAAAUGACGUACUUGAAGUUGUUCCAACAAAUUACCCAAUUCCUCAUGGCCAUGAAUGGUUAGAUUUUGCAGAGAAGGCAACUGGGCAGCAAAAUCCCUAUGACCAAAAAAGCUGUAAUUUGAUUCAGACCAAAGAAUCAACUCUCUUAGCUUAGGGAACUUGAUGAUGCCAUCUCUGGUGAGUGCAUCUCCUUCACCGUAAAAUAUUUGCUUUAAAUUGUCAGCUUUAUCAAUCUUCAUCUCUUCCAGGUUCUGAAGACUUGGAGACACAGAGAUAGGAAAGACAUAUUCAAGUUCAGCACAGGCAAAUAUAUAAAGAGUUUUUAAUUCUAGGAAGGCAAGAGACUCUGGAAUUAUUUCCCUUUCAUCAUCCUCCUCUCUUAGAACAUACUUCAAUUCACGACAAUUUCUUAUCUCAAGUGUUUCUAGCCGUCGUAGACUUUGAGCGAGGGACAGUGUGAAGAUAAAUGUCAGUUUGUGAAGACGGUUCAAAUUCAGAUGAAUAAGACUUUGUUGGCUGACAUGUCUGGUGGGCCCCUUCCAUAUACAUUUGAGCUCAGGUAACAUUUCCAGCUCCAACCUUGUUAAAGAUGACAGCAGCGGCAACUCCUCCUCGACAUUGCUUUCAUCAUCCAAUUCAAAUACCUCUUCUAAUGAUUUGCAGCCAUUAAUUUUCACACUCCUUAAAUUUUUCAAAACUUGCAGCACUUUUGAUGGAAAAGGAGUACAGAUAUCCCCACAAUGCCACACUUCUACAAAUUCCAAUCUCUGGAAGAAGCCGUUUUGCUGCUCAUGAUCAGAAAACAAUACUAUAUUUUUUAAACCCUUCACUCUCCUAAAAACAAUUUGAGACACAGUAGGAAAUAACUGCUCCAAUAUCUCUGCAUUUAAGGAUGUGGCGCUUGUAUUAUCCAAAUGUAAUCUUGUCGAGGUUGGGUAUCCUACUGGAUCCCUUAUAAAUGGAUUAUAAUUCCCUAAAAUUAUAUCAUAUUUGAACACUCUGGGAAAAACAAAAUCUCUGGGAAUGCUUUCAACCUCUGGUAUCCUCAAUGAUAAUACAGCUAAAUUAGACAACGAAUUUAGUUCUGUUAGGCUUGCGUUCAUUCCUCCUGUGCUGUCACAUCCAUCAACAUCCCAUCCCCCAAAGCUCUUUUUCCCGAUCAGCAGCUCUUCUAACUUCCACAACCUUCCAAUCAAAUUCACAGGGAUCCUUCUUAGCCUUUGACAACCUGUCACAUCCAGCAACCUUAACUCCUUGAGUUCUCCUAUUUCAUCAGGUAAUUCUUCGAUGGAUAAGCACCACAUAAGACCAAGAAUCUUAAGUCCCUGCAGCUUUCUCAACCAAAUGAGGUCCUUGCAUUCGCACUCCAUCAACACCAUCGAUUGAAGUUUCGUUGAGAGUUCGAGUGAUUGCAAUGACAAACACCCUCCCUUCACAGACAAAACUUCAAUUUCUUUCAUCCCUUCAAAAAACCUCUCUUCCAUAAUCGAUCUGCUCUCCCUUCUUUACUCUUUUCUUUAAUUUUCAAACCUAACAUAUCUGCCAGUCGAUCCUGGAUGUCUGUGGCAUUUGGAUUCUGCGACACCGUAGCCAUCAAAACUUCAUCAAACAGCUGCAACUCUUUGGCUCUCCUGCCUACUUCUUUCACCAGGGUGGUUUUACCCACCCCUUCCAUGCCGUACAGUCCGAUCAUAUUGACGUUGUCAUCUUUGAGAGCUUUCAUAAUCUGUUCCAAAGCUUCUUUUGACGAUUCUGAGGGCCUGAAAUCCUUUGAUGGAAGAAAUUCUAUGGGCUCAGGAUGAGCUCUGUGGGACACUUUUGUAGGCUUUUUUUCUAAAUGUUCUCUGAAAGUCUCCGACUUCUUGGCCAGUACCUUGCUUAACUUGAAUUGUCGCAUGCAGUUUGGACACCAAGUGAAGCAUUUGCCAUUUUUUCCUAUUUCAUGUACAAUUUCUUCAGCAUCUACCAGCCACUUUUCGACAUCUUUGUAAAUUUCUUCAGCAUUCCUUUCAGCAGCUUCGACAUCGUCUUGCAGACGUUCUUUUUCCGAGACCAGCUUCUCCUGUUGUUGUUCGAAUUCCUUAACAAAAGUGUUGAAACAGAACAUGUAACGGAACUGCCUUCCUACUGGUUCCACCAUGAGUUCUGCUAUCUUAGAUAUAAUGGAUCCACCCACACUUUCGAUAGCCAUUUUCCACCAGUCUGAAAAUCAGAGAAAUGAGGAUACAGGACGUGAGAGUGAGUCACAACAAGCAGGCGCAGAGAGAAUGGGAAUAGGAAUUUCAUUACCUUAACUUGAGAAAAUAUGUGCGGAAAGUACUGAGAGCUCAAUGAAAUAGCGGGAGGAAGAAGAGGAGAAGGCCUUUAGCUCUGUAUGGAAUCCAGCUUCAAAAGCAACAAGGCAAGGUAUAAAAAUUCUAGCUGACACUUGUGAGUUAAAGCAGUAAUUCCCAUUAAAAAUGCAUUUUGAUGACAUAAUUAAGAUCAAAUAGAGACAGGAAAGGCACGGUUGAGAUAAGUAGAGGGAGAGGUUGUUGGAGGCAGAAAAGGAAAGACUACGAUAAUAUUUUUCUCUAUAUUUUGAGUUUUAGUUGUUAAUAGCCAUGCUCUUGCAAAUAAGGCAGGAAAUAGCGUGUUUGUUUUUUAUUUUUUAAAGUAUUUUUUUAAAAAAUAAAUUUUUGUAUUCUAAAUUAAUUUUUUUAUUUUUAUAUUGCUAUUAAAAAUAUUUUUUAACAAAUAAAAAAAUAUUAUUUUAAUAUAUUUUUAAAAUACAAAUAUAUUUAAAAAAACUACUACUUAUUCAAACACUUAAAAUAAAAAUCUUAAAAUCACAGCAUGAUAAAAGGAGAAGGAAAGGAAUGGGAUAAAGAAGGAAGAAAAUACUAUUUGUUUUUUUACUGUAUCAGAGUGGUUUUUAUAAUUAUAUUUUUUAAUAUUUCUUGUUAUUAUUAUAUAUAUAUAUAUAUAUAUAUAUAAUAUUUUAAUAUGUUUUUAAAUAAAAAAACUAUUUUAAAAAAAUAUGUGUCACAAUACUAAAUUAUACUAUAAAUUAAAAGAUAAAGAGCUUUCUGUUCAUUACUAUUUACCGAGACUUAUUUUAUUGUGGAUGUGGAUAUUAAUAGUGAAUAUUUUUAAAAUUUUCAAUUUGGUAUUUGAAUUAUUAUUUUUUUGCAUAAUUGAAUCUCUUCAUGCUCAAAUUAAAACUCAAUUGCAUUUUUUUUAAGGAUAAGAGUUGAAUUAUAAGAUAGGUGACUAAAAUGAAAAACUCAGUAAAAAUAUGUGGCGACACUGUAAUUGUUUGCAAAGUUCAUUUUAGUCCUGUAUCUUUUAAGAUGUCCCAAUAAUUUCUCAACAUUACAUUUUAUCUAGAAUCUCUGAUUAUGCUCUAGGGACUAUAUUGAAAUUUUCAUAAAUUGAGAAAUCAAACUAAAAUUUCAUCACCUUCAAUCUCAAACCUAGAAUUUUCACAUAUCACCUGCUGAUAUAACAAAAUUUCGAACUCAAAUUCACCAUUUAAACAACCCAUAACUCAAAAUCAUCAUUUUUACUUAAAAACUUUUAAAAUCAACUAAAUAACUCAUUGUCCAUAACAAUGAGCACAUAAUAUUCAAAUCAAUUCAUCAAUCAAACCCAAAACACAAUCUUCAAAACCCUAAUAUUCAACAAAACAGAAAAUUAAAGCUAAGAAAAACACAUUUAUCCACAUCAAAGUGUAAAUAUUCUUACAUUUUAAUUUAUUUUCUCUAACUCUCUUAUCCUUUCUUUAUCUUUUCCUAGUUUCUCUUUUUUUUCUUUCACUCUCACGGUUCUCUAUAAGAUUUCAGAUCUAUCUUUUUUAUUAUUAUUUAUAUUUUGAACUCUUUAUUCAAUUACUACAAUACCGUUCAUUCAUUUAUACCUACUUCUAAGCCUCCAUGGGUUUUGUUGUCUUUUUCUAUUCUUUUUUAUUUUCAAAUCAUUACAAUAAAAUUGUUUUCUUUUCAUUAAGCUGCUAAUUUAUGCAGCUUUAGCUCUUGUUCUCUUUUCAUGUUUAGCAACUCUGAUCUGUUUCUUUUCUUUACAUGAUAUAAGGGCAGGUUCUUACCUCUUGAAGUCUGCUGGAUAAACCUAUAAGCAGAAGAUCCUGAAGCGAUCCCAAAUCACAGCUUCAAUCCCCACCACAACCAAUCUCCUCUUUCCCGUAGUCUGUCGUCCUCAAUUGGGAAAUGAUCUCAAAAAAUCACUUGAUGCAACAAGUAGGGUAGAGAAAUAUAAGACUUCAACAAAGAAUCAAACUCAAAAAAGUUGAAGUAAUUGUCUAUGAGAAGCAUUUCUGUGUCACACACUCAAGUAAUAUGAUUGACCUAUUACAUUAUACAAAUUAAUAAUAAUAAUAAUAAUAAUAAUAAUAAUAAUAAUAAAAGAACUAGGUUUUUGAUGGCAUCCAGAGUGCUGUUACUUUCAAACAAAGAGGCUUGUGCAUGCGGUGUUACGCUGUUCAUGUACGCUAAGAUCUCCUAUGAAUACAAUAAUAUAAUCAUAAAAUUGUAUUAGUUUUAUUAAGCUGUUAAUUUAUGCAGCUUUAGCUCAUGUUCUCUCUUCUUGUCUUGCUAUUCUGAUUUUAUCUUUUUCUUCGCAUGAUAUAAGAGCAGGUUCUUACCUCUUGAAGUCUGCUUCAAUCCCCGUAGUCUUCCGUCCUCAAUUGGGAAAUGAUCCAAAAUCAACAACUGGUCCGGAGAUAGUUUGAGUGAAAAGAAACGGCUGAAAGAUGAUAUGUGAAGGUUAUGGUGAGAAAUUAGAUGACAAACUUACUUUGUCCUACUAAUGCUUUUGCUUUCAUUGUUUCCAUAGCAAUGUCUCAUCUUUUGAUAUGGUGGUACAAGAUACACCAUGGUAUGGUGGUCUUGCAGGAAAUGUCUUAGCUUUUGAUAUGGUGGUACAAGAUAUCCAUGAUCAGUUUUCGAAAGAUUCGAGUCUCCGUUCUAGUUCAGGUUGGAAGCUAGGCCGAAAGCUAAGAUUCUUUUAUUAGUGGUUGGUGUGGAUGAGUAUUGCAAGAAUGGACUCAAAGGAUCAGCUAAUCCGCAUAAUUAAACUACUAGGAAAUUCAAGGAAAGUUAACAAUAGCAUUGAUUCGAUCAAGGGGAUCCGGUGUCUAGAGAGGACCUUGCCGUUAAGGAAAUAACCAUAAAAACUAUGGAGCCCACUAUUUAUUAAUCCAUUUCUAUUUACUACUUAUUACUAUUUAUUUAUUUUUAUUAAUUACUAUAUUUUUGUUUGUGUACCAAUAAAAUUUGAGAUUCCUUUAAUUUUUUAGGUGCAUGGUCUAGUCUAAUUGGCUGCAUGUACAAAUCAAUUCAAGGGUGUGUAAUCCUUAACUAUCAGGCUAACCUUUACAGGCUUAGCUAGCAAUCGAUAAUUAAUUUUUAAUGAAUUCAAUUUUUAUUUAAAAUAAGGAAAAAGACAUUGGUGAAUAAAUAGUUUCCUUCCUAUUAUAAUUGUUAGACCUUACCAAAGGGCUAAUUUAGAAAAAGACUAACUUAUAGGUCUAACAAUUAAAGAAAAAAGUAUAUUUAGACCUUCCUAUUAUUGGUCAACUUGUGAUUAAGUAGAUCAAUUUAAAUUAAUUAUUCAAAACCCAAAAACAAUCUUCAAAACCCUAAUAUUCAACAAAACAGAAAAUUAAAGCUAAGAAAAACACAUUUAAUAAAUCGUCAUCUCUUUCAGGUUUACCACAGCCUCUUCUCUGGCUCGGAGACACAGAGACAGUGAAGACAUAUUCCAGUUUACCACAGCCUUCUAUGAUGAUAUUUUUUAAUUUUGGGAAGCGAGGAGACUCUGGAACUAUUUCCCUUUCACCAUCCUCCUCUCUGAUAAUAUGCUUCAUAUUCCAGUUUACCACAGCCUUCUAUGAUGAUAUUUUUUAAUUUUGGGAAGCGAGGAGACUCUGGAACUAUUUCCCUUUCACCAUCCUCUUCUCUGAUAAUAUGCUUCAAUUCACCGCAUACACUUAUCUCAAGGAAAUUCAGCUGUGGCAGACUUUGAAGAGUUAGAGACACGAAGACAUAUUCCAGUUUACCACAGUCAGAUAUACGGAGAGUUUUUAAUUUUGGGAAGCAAAGGGACUGUGGAAUUAUUUUCCUUUCACCAUCCUCUUCUCUGAUAAUAUGCUUCAAUUCCCCGCAAUCUCUUAUUUCAAGGUUUUCUAGCUUUGGCAGACUUCGCGCAAGGGACUCUGUGAAGAUAAAUUUCAGUUUGUCGAGAUACCGCAAUUCCAGAUGAGCAAGAUUUUGGAGGCUGACAUGUCCGGUGGGCCCCUUCCAUAUGCAUUUGACCUCAGGUAACCAUCGCAGCUGUAACUUCUUUAAAGAUGACAGCAGCGGCAGCUCCUUCUCCUCACUGCUUCCUUCAUCAGCCUCACCCAAUUCAAAUACCUCUUCCAAUGAUUUGCAUCUGUCAACAGUCACCUCCUUUAGAGUUUUCAAAUUUGUCAACCCCUGCAUCAAAAGAAAUUUUGUGCACUUUUGAACUAUAUAAUUUUGGUAAAUAGAUGAACGAAUUGUCCAUAUAAAACUUCAGCAAAAAAACUUAUCAACAAAAGGAUAGAAGUAGACAUGGCAACAAGGCAUGGGAAUAUGAAAUCAUAAGCUGCAGGACUGAAACAAACAACUCAAUAUUAGCAGAUGAAGGUUUCUCUUCCUAUUCAAAUACUUCCAUUAAUUGAGGGAAGAGCCUCAAUUUCACUCAAACUGGGAAAGCAUAAAUUAAGAUUGAAAAAUCUGGAUAUCAUUUCAUUACAAUAAUUAAUUUCUUAAUUCUUAAGCCCUACAUCAAGAGACAAGGAAUGAUACAGUUAGACAACUCCUUUUAAAUUUAGUGGAUGGCUAGAGGAUUUAUCUCUACUUAUCAAUUACUUCAGUUUCAGAAAUUUGGAAGAGAAAUCAACUUGUAUUGAAUUUGACAAUUUAAAUUAAAAAGGAAAAAAAUUAUUGGAGAAAUAUAGAGGACGUACUUGGAACUGUGCAGACAAAUUUCCCAAUUCUUUGUGGUCAUUGAUUUCUAGAUAUUGCAAAGAAGGCAAUUGGACAGCAAAAUUCUUUGGACCUAAAAAGCUGCAAUUUGAAAGAUACAAUGUUCUUAGCCGAGGGAACUUGAUGAUGAAAUCUGUGGGGAGUGCAUCUUCUUCUCCACUGUAAAAUAUUUGCUUUAAAUUGUCAGCACCACCAAUCGUCAUCUGUUCCAGGUUCGGAAGGUUCGGAGACACGGAGACAGUGAAGACAUAUUCCAGUUUACCACAGCCUUCUAUGAAGAUUUUUUUUAAUUGUGGGAAGCGAGGAGACUCUGGAAUUAUUUCCCUUUCACCAUCCUCUUCUCUGAUAAUAUGCUUCAAUUCACCGCAAAAUUGUAUCACAAGGGUUUCCAGCUUUAGCAGGCUUCGAGCGAGGGACGUUGUGAAGAUAAAUGUCAGUUUGUCCAGAACAUACAAUUCCAGAACAACAAGACUUUGGAGGCUGACAUGUCCGGUGGGCCCCUUCCAUAUGCAUUUGAGCUCGGGUAACCUUGACAGCUGUAACUCCGUUAAAGAUGACAGCAGCGGCAGCUCCUUCUCCUCAUUGCUUCCUUCAUCAGCCUCACCCAAUUCAAAUACCUCUUCCAAUGAUUCGCAGUCCUUAAUUUCCGCACUCUUUAGAUUUUUUAAACCUUGCCGCAAUCUUGCUGGAAACAGAGUGAAAACAUCCCCACAAUCCCACACUUCUACAAAUUCUAAUUUAUGUAAAAACAAUUGCUCAAAUAUCUUCGCAUUUAAGCAAGCUAACUGGAAAACCAAUCUUGUCGAGGUUGGGUAUCCAUAAUUGGGUAACGCAAACCGAUUCCCUAAUAUUAUAUCAAAUUUGCGCAAGCUAACUGGAAAAACAAAAUCUCUGGGAAUGCAUUCAACCUUCGGUAUCGUCAAUGAUAAUACGGCUAACUGAGACAACGAAUUUAGUUCUGUUAGGCUUGCAUUCAUUCCUCCUGUGCUGUCACAUCCAACAACAUCCCAUCCCCGAAAGCUGCAAUACCCGAUCAACAGCUCUUCUAACUUCUUCAACCUUCCAAUCAAAUUCACAGGGAUCCUUCUUAACCUUCGACAACCUGUCACAUCCAACAACCUUAACUCCUUGAGCUCUCCUAUUUCAUCAGGUAAUUCUUCAAUGGAUGAGCAACACUGAAAAACAAGUAUCUUAAGUCUCUGCAGCUUUCUCAACCAAAUGAGGUCCUUGCAUCCACAACUGAUCAACACCAACGAUUGAAGUUUCGUUGAGAGUUCGAGUGAUUGCAAUGACAAACACCCUCCCUCCAGAGACAAAACUUCAAUUUCUCUCAUCCCUUCAAAAAACUUAUCUGGAACAUUCAUACCAUCAUCCAGUUCUAAUAAUAGAACUUUGAGCUUUGGACAUACCAAUCCUUCAGGAAGUUCUGCUAGAUUAUUGCCCAUUAACGAAAUUGUUGUACAACCUCCAAAGCUUUUAUCAUGAAAUGGCCACUCCUUCAACUCAUUGACAGCCUUUACCAUGAAUCCAUAUUCUUCUGAUGAUGCUAUCUGAAUAGCAACAUCACGAACCAAGUCAUGCAUUUUCACGUGUUCAUCAAUUUUCAGUGUCCAACAGCAUGCAACAAUCUUUGAGCUUUUUUAUUUCCACAUAAACUCGUUUCUUUGCAUCUCCAAUGGACUCCACAUCUCGAUGUAACUCAUACCCAACUGCGUAUCUCGUCAAGUCCUCGAUUGGAAUGCUAUAGUCUUCUGGAAAUAAACAGCAUAGCAAGAAACAUAACUUGGUUUCCUUGCUCUUCAAAUAAUCAUAGCUCAACUUAAGACAUGCAUAUGCAGUUCUUUGUUCAUCAAUGUGUUCCAUGUCCGGAAAUUGAGAGUUUUUUAGCUGUCCAAAUGCUACUUCCAACUCAACUUCAGAUUUACCUCUUAGAGCCCUUCCCACUGUCACAAGUGCUAUAGGCAAGCCGUGACAUUCACCCGCAACCUCCCUUGCCACUGUGUUCAAGGUAGAGUCCCCAUCACGUAAACCUGCAUUGAUUCUGAAUAAAUCCCAUGCUUCAUCUUUAGGUAAGACUUUUAAAAACACUUUUUGCUGGCACUCCAUAGAAGAACAUAUGCCUUGAAGACGAGUUGUUAGAACAAUUUUACAACCCCUGUGACCAUCACCCAAUGGGAUACCUAUCUCUUUUAAGUCAAUAAGUCUCCAAACAUCAUCCAGGAUUUACAAGCAUCUUCUCCACUUUCUCCAGUCUCUGCCAUAAUAGAUCAGCUCUCCCUGCAUUAGUACUCUUUUCUUUAAUAUUCAGACCUAACUUAUCUGCUAUUUGCUUCUGAAUGUCUCUGACAUUUGGAUUCUGCGACACCGUAGCCAUCACAACUUCAUAAGAAGGCUGCGACUCUUUGGCUUUCCUGCCUACUUCUUUCACCAGGGUGGUUUUACCCACCCCUCCCAUGCCGCACAGUCCGAUCAUAUUGACGUUGUCAUCUUUGAGAGCUUUCAUGAUCUGUUUCAAAGCUUCUUUUGAGGAUUCUGAGGGUGUGAAUUCCUUUGAUGGGAGAAAUUCUAUGGGAUGGGGAUGAGCUUUGUGGGCCACUGUUUUAAACUUUUCGCUAAUUUCUCCAAGUUUUCUGAAAGUCUCCGACUUCUUGGCCAGUGCCUUGCUAAACUUGAAUUGUCGCAUGCAGUUUGGACACCAAUUGAAGCAUUUGCCAUUUUUUCCUAUUUCAAUUUCCAAAGGCUUCGCACCUUCAAUUUCGUUGUUUGCAUCUUCCAGCCACUUUUUGACAUCUUUGUAAAUUUCUUCAGCAUUCCUUUCAGCAGCUUUGACAUCAUCUUGCAGACGUUCUUUUGCCGAAUCCAGGUUCUGCUUUCGUUCAUUGAAUUCUUCAACAAAAUGGUUGAAACAGAACAUGUAACGGAACUGCCUUCCUACUGGUUCCACCAUGAGUUCUGCUAUCUUAGAUAUAAUGGCUCCAACCACACUUUCGAUAGCCAUUUUCCACCGACCCUGAAAAUCAGAGAAAUAAGGAUACAGAACGUGAGAGUGAGUCACUACAAGUAAAACAGGCGCAGAGAGAAUGGGAAUAGGAAUUUCAUUACCUUAAUUUGGGAAAAGCACUGGUACUGAUAACUCAAUGAAAUAGCGGGAGGAAGAAAAGGAGAAGGCCUUUAGCUCUGUAUGGAAUCCAGCUUCAAAAGCAAAAAGGCAAGGUAUAAGGAUUAUAACUGACACUUGUGAGUUAAAGCAGUAAUUCCUAUUAAAAAUGCAUUUUGAUGACAUAAUUAAGAUCAUUUAGAGACAGUGACAAACAAACAAAAAAAAGGUAUAAAAGUACUCACCUAGCAAAGAAAGAAGCGAAUGAAAGGUUCAGGAUAAUCACUUAGCUCGUUUCCAACAACAAAUAUAAUUAAUUAAUCUAAGCUAUGAUCGGUCAAUGUUUUUGGUAGUUUUAUUCUUGUUUUUUUUUUAAAAAAAACAAAUCAAUAAAUGAAAAGACUUGCAAAGAAAUAGAAUUACUGGAAUGAACACAAUAAAAAAUGAAACUCAAGCAAUUAAAAAUAAAUUAUCUAUGAUGAUCAUCUCUGUGUUCCGCUCACUGAGGUAAUAUGAUUGGCCUAUCACAAUAUUAAAAAAAAAAAAAAAAAAAGCUAAAAGAACUAGGUUUAUGGUGGCAUCCAGAGUGCGGUUACUUUCUUCAUCCUUCUUUUGUGGUUUUAUUUUAUUUCAGUCCUUCAAAUCUUUUUUUUUUGCUAUAUCAUCGAGUUGAUGUGCUUGCUCUAAAAUAUGCAUUAUGCUAGGGAUUAUAAUUAAAAAUUUCAUUCUUAAAAAAAAAAAAAAUUAUGAGAAAGUACCAAUAUUACAACGGGGAGUAAAUGAAAGAAGAAUUUUAAAUCUUUUUGUGACAUGGUGACCAGCAUAUCCAAGUAACCAAUAGAUUAUCGCCACUUGUUCAACCUGAUCUGCACAUUAAGAUAGGGGUAGUCAUAACUAUUACUCGUUUGUUGGACGGAAAAUAAAUUUUAAUUGUUAUUUAUUUUAUUUGAAAUAAUUUAUGAAAUUAGAUUUUUUUUUAAUUUCUUUCUAAUUCAACUUCUUAAUUUGUAAGAUUUAUUUCUUGUUAUUUUAAUAAACUUAAAAAAAUAAUAUUAAUAAACUAUUUUUCAGUUUAUUUUAUAUAACAUAACUAAAUAAUAAAAUUUUUUUUUUAAUUUAUUUUACUGUGAUACUAUCAAAUAUCACGGAGAGGUUGUUGGAGGCAGAAAAGGAAAGACUACUAUAGUAUUCUUCUCUAUAUUUUGAGUUUUAGUUGUUAAUAGCCAUGCUCUUGCAAAUAAGGCAGGAAAGGAGGACCUGAAAUCACGGCAGCGAAUAAGGAGAGAAAUAGCGUGUUUGUUUUUUAUUUUUUAUUUUUUUUUAUAAUUUUUUUUUGUAUUCUAAAUUAAUUUUUUAUAUUUUUAUAUUGAUAUUAAAAAUAAUUUUAAAAAAUAAAAAAUAUAUUAUUUUAAUAUAUUUUUAAAAUAAAAAAUAUUUUAAAAGACAACUACUUAUUCAAACACUUAAAAUAAAAACCUUAAAAUCACGGCAUGAUAAAAGGAGCAAGAAAGUAAUGGGACAAAGAAGGAAGAAAAUUAGUAUGAAAAAGGCUAUUUGUUUUUUUACUGUGUCAGAGUGGUUUUUAUAAUUAUAUUUAAUUUAUAAAAUUAUAAAAUUAAUAUAUUUCUAAAUAUUUCUUGUUAUAUAUAAUAUUCUAAUAUGUUUUUAAAUAAAAAAUUAAUUUAAAAAACAUGUGUCACAAUACUAAAUUAUAGUAUAAAUUAAAAGAUAAAAGAGUUUUUUGAUUAUUACUAUUUAACGAGACUUAUUUUAUUGUGGAUGUGGAUAUUAAUAGUGAAUUUUUUUAAAAUUUUCAAUUUGGUAUUUGAAUUUUUUUUUCAUAAUUGAAUCUCUUUAUGCCCAAAUUAAAACUCAAUUUCAUUUUGUUUUUUAAGGAUAAGAGUUGAAUUCAAAGAUAGAUGACUGAAAUGAAACAUUUGGUAAAAAUAUGCGGUGACACUGUAAUUGUUUGCAAAAUUCAUUCUGUAAUUGGUUGUAAAGUUCAUUUUAGUUCCUUAUCUUUUUAAGCUACUAAGUAACAUGUCCCUAUAAUUUCUCAACAUUACAUUUUAUUCAGAAUCUUGAUUAUGCUCUAGGGAUUAAACUGAAAAUUUUAUAAAUUAAGAGAUCAAACUGAAAUUUCAUCAUAUUCAAUCUCAAACCUAGAAUCUUCACAUAUCACUUACUGAUAUAAACAAGAUUUCUAACUCAAAUUCACCAUUUAAACAAACCAUAACUCAAAAUCAUCAUUUUUACUUAAAAUCUUUCAAAAUCAACUAAAUAACUCAUUAUCCAUAACAAUCAACACAUAAUAUUCAAAUCAAUUCAUCAAUCAAACCCAAAACACAAUCUUCAAAACCCUAAUAUUCAACAAAAUAGAAAAUUAAAGCUAAGAAAAACACAUUUAUACAAAUCAAAGCGUAAAUAUUCUUACAUUUUAAUUUAUUUUCUCUAACUCUCUUAUCAUUUCUUUAUCUUUUCCUCAUUUCUCUUUUUUUUCUUUCGCUGUCAUGGUUUCCUCUCUAAGAACUCAGAUCUCUUUUUUUUUUUCUGUUUAUAUUUAUGAACUCUUUGUUCAAUUACUAAAAUACCGUUCAUUCAUUUAUACCUACUUCUAAGCCUCCAAGAGUUUUGUUGUCUUUUUCUAUUCUCUUUUAUUUUCAAAUCAUCACAAUAAAAUUGUUUUCUUUUUAUUAAGCUGCUAAUUUAUGCAGCUUUAGCUCCUGUUCUCUUUUCAUGUUUAGCAACUCUGAUCUGUUCCUUUUCUUUACAUGAUAUAUGAGCAGGUUCUUACCUCUUGAAGUCUGCUAGAUAAACCUAUCAGCAGAAGAUCCUGAAGCGAUCCCAAAUCACAGCUUCAAUCCCCACCACAACCAAUCUCCUCUUUCCCGUAGUCUGUCGUCCUCAAUUGGGAAAUGAUCUCAAAAAAUCACUUGAUGCAACAAGUAGGGUAGGGAAAUAUAAGACUUCAACAAAGAAUCAAACUCAAAAAAAUAAAAGUAAUUGUCUGUGAGAAGCAUUUCUGUGUCACGCACUCAAGUAAUAUGAUUGACCUAUUACAUUACACAAAUUAAUAAUAAUAAUAAUAAUAAUAAUAAUAAUAAUAAUAAAAGAACUAGGUUUUUUAUGGCAUCUAGAGUGCUGUUACUUUCAAACAAAGAGGCUCGUGCAUGCGGUGUUACGCUGUUCAUGUAGGCUAGGAUCUCCUAUGAAUAUAAUUGUAAAAUCAUACAAUUGAAUUCUUUUUAUUAAGCUGCUAAUUUAUGCAGCUUUAGCUCAUGUUCUCUCUUCUUGUCUUGCAACUCUGAACUGUUCCUUUUGUUUGCAUGAUAUAAGAGCAGGUUCUUACCUCUUGAACUCUGCUUCAAUCCCCGUAGUCUUCCGUCCUCAAUUGGAAAAUGAUCCAAAAUCAACAACUGGUCCGGAGAUAGUUUGAGUGAAAAGAAACGGCUGAAAGAUGAAAUGUGAAGGUUAUGGUGAGGAAUUAGAUGACAAACUUACUUUGUCCUACUAAUGCUUUUGCUUUCAUUGUUUCAAAAAGUAAAAGAGACAUGAGCAUAAUCAUAAGAAUCCUGUUUUUUCUAUUUUUUCUCCUAUUUAUACAUCAAAAAAUGGCAGUUUUUCUUUUCCUUUCUUUUAAAAAUCUUAUGCCUAAUUGGGUGAGGAAAUUAGUGGAGCAUUAGACCUUUUAAAAGACAACAAAAAGAAGCAAUGUCUCAUCUUUUGAUAUGGUGGUACAAGAUACACCAUGGUAUGAUGGUCUUGCAAGAAAUGUCUUAGCUUUUGAUAUGGUGGUCUUCCAUGAUCAGUUCUCGAAAGAUUCGAGUCUCCGUUCUAGUUCAGGUUGGAAGCUAGGCCGAAAGCUAAGAUUCUUUUAUUAGUGGUUGGUGUGGAUGAGUAUUGCAAGAAUGGACUCAAAGGGUCAGCUAAUCCGCAUAAUUAAACAGUACUGUUACUGUAAACUACUAGGAAAUUCAAGGAAAGUUAACAAUAGUAUUGACUCGAUCAAGUAAGGGGCUCCCGUGUCUAGAGAGGACCUUGCCGUUAAGGAAAUAACCAUAAAAUCUAUGGAGCCCACUAUUUAUUAAUCCAUUUCUAUUUACUACUAUUACUAUUUAUUUAUUUUUAUUAAUUUACUAUAUUUUUGUUUGUGUACGAAUAAAAUUUGAGAUUCCUUCAAUUUUUUACAGGCUUAGCUAGCAAUCGAUAAUUAAUUUUUAAUGAAUUCAAUUUUUAUUUAAUAUAGUAGAAAAUUAUAGUGAUUUAAAAAAAUUCAUUAAAAUGCUUGUAAAUGUUUUUAUUUUGUGACCACGGUUCUUGUGUUAUCUUUUAUGUAUUGUCAUUGUCGUACAUGGACGCGUGAUAUGGGGGUCAUUUGGAGUCGCUACCUAGUUGUUUAGUUUAACAUCACUAAAAAACCUAGAUAUACUAGUCCUGUUAGAGAUUCGAGAGUAAAUAACUAGUUAUGGCUAAAGAAUGUAUUAACACUCCUAGCGCACCCUAUCCAGGUAAGUUCCUUUGUGAUUAGAUGUGGUUUAGAGAUUUUGAUGGUUUUCUGAUAUAUCUAUGGUUUAGGAUUGGGAUGUGCUUGUAUGGAUAAAUUUGGUGUUUAAUAAUUUAUUAUGGACUCUUGUACCCAGAUAAAUUCUUAUAAAAAAAAUUUCUUUGUAAUGUGUGUAUUAUGGUAAAAAUUUCCCUUAAUAAAAAUUCAUGAACAUUUAGAAUAACUUUGAGGAUUUUCUUAUCAACUCCAAUAUUUCAAAUAUCAGCUUCACUUAUAGGUAUAGUGUUUUAUAUCAAGAUUUUUAACCAUUAAUUCUCAUUAAUUAAAAAAUAGUGGUCUAUUAAAAUAUUGACCAAAGUCACAUGAAUUUAAUAAACCAGUUAUUAAAUUCUAAAAUGCAUAUUCAUAUAUAAUAUUUUAAUUUGUUUUUAAAUAAAGAAUAUUUUAAAAAAGUAUGGGCCACAAUACCAAAGUAUAGUAUAAAUUAAAAGAGAAAGGAGUUUUCUCUUCAUCACUAUUCACUUAUAUUCAUUUCACUAUGGAUAUUAAUAGUGAAUAUUUUGAAAAUUUGCAAUUUGAUUGCAAAGUUCAUUUUAGUCCCUAUAAUUUUUCAUCAUUGUAUUUUCAUACCAAACCUUAUUUUUCUCUGUUUUUAUUUUUUUUGUAAGAGAGAGAGGAUCACCAUAUUUCAUUGUAGACAGAGAAAGUUGUUGUUGGGGAUUUUGGCCACCAAAUUUCUAGGUGGUUUUGGUUAAAAUGGCUGAAAACAGGUUGUGGGUUUCAACUGAGUUUUUUAUUAAAUUAGUCAAUGUUUUUUUUAGUUUUUUUUUUAAAAACAAUUCAACAAGAGAGAAAAGACUUGUAAAAAUAUAGAAUUACAGAAAGAAACUCAACAAAAAAUCAGACUCAAGCAAUUAAAAAUAAUUUUCUAUGAUAACCAUCUCUGUAUCACACAUUCAGGUAAAUAUGAUUGACCUAUAACAUAAAUAAAGCCCUGCAAACAAUUAAAUUAUGCUUCAAAAGCAACAAGACAAGGUAUAAAGUAUACCAACAAAAAUAGUUUACUAACUGACACUUGUGAGUUAAAGCAGUAAUUCCCAUUAAAAAUGCAUUUUGAUGACAUAAUUAAGAUAAUAUAUAGACAGUGACAAAAUAAAAUAAUAAAAAAAAAUAAUGUGUAAAAGAAACGAAUGAAAGGUUCAGGGUAAUCACUUAGACUCCUCCACGGAUGAUACCAGCUCGCUUCCACCAACAAAUAUAAUUAACCUAAGCUAUGAUAGGUCAAAGUUCUUUUUAGUUUUUUUUUAUAUAAAAAAAACAGAUCAACAAGAGAAAAGACUUGUAAAAAAGUAGAAUUGCGAAACUCAACAAAGAAUCAAACUGAAGCAAUUAAAAAUAAUAGUAUAUGAUGACCAUCUCUUAUCACACAUUGUAAUAUGAUUGACCUAUAACAAUAUUAAAAUAAUAAUAAUAAUAAAAAGCUAAUAGAUGGUCGCCACGUGUUCAACUUUAUCUCCCCUUAGGAAAGGAUAGAAAGUGGGAGAGAGAGAGGUUAAAAGGCUUUAAAAAAAAAAAAAAAGGAAAGACAGAAAUAAAAGAAAGGUUGAGAUACGAGAGGGACGUGGAAAUAGAAGGAGAGGUUGAGACAUUGAAAGAUCGGAGUAAAGAAGACAACAUGAAUAUGUGAUGCUCGUUUAUCUAUUAAAUUAAAUUUUAUUUUAAUUUUAUUUCAAAUUAAUUUUUAAAAAAACUAAUUUGAAAAUUAGUAUGAAAAAAAAGGAUAAUAGAGUAGGUGUCCAAAUCAAAACACAUAAAUAUAGGACAAAAACAGGGAGAGAGGCUCUUUGUUUUUUUAACUGUAUUGGUUUAUAGUGUUUUAUAAAUAUUUUAGAUAAAAAAUAGGUUAAAAGGAAGUUUUUAAAUAAAAAAUCAAGCUUUAUUAUUUUAUAUAAUUCAAAUAAAAUCAAUUUAUUUAAUUGUUUAGAAUUAUAACUCAAGUUAUUUAACGACUUUUUAAAUUAUUUCUGUUACUUUCCCUCAAUUUUCUAGACAAGCAAAAGGAGCUAAACUUAUUCCCGACCAAAACGUCAAGAAUUUCAGUAGAACAAAAGAAGAGAUUAUUACUUGACCAAAAACAACCAGUCAUCACCCAAAGAAACCGAGUCAAUGAGAGAAAAAGACUGAUAGCUAGAAAACAAUCAACAGAUCCAAGAAUUUUCUGUAUGGUUUCCAAGAAAAUGAAACGAAACAAAGAUAGACAAAGAUAGUUCGAGGAAGUGGGCAGCCUUUUUUCUGCUGUUAACGCAGACUAAGAACUCCUACCAUCGUAAAAUCAUAUAAUUAAAACACAACAAUAAAAAAGUAAUGAGCAGCUAACUAUGUGCGAAAACCAGAGAAAUAAGGAUACAAAACGUGAGAGUGAGUCAUUGUUGUAAGUAAAAGAGGCGCAGAGAGAAUGGGAAUUGGAAUUUCAUACCUUAACUUGAGAAAAUAUGUGCGAAAAGCAGUGGUACUGAUUGCUCAAUGAAAAGGAGAAGGCCUUUAGCUCUGUAUGGAAUCCAGCUUCAACAGCAACAAGGCAAGGUCUAAGCAUUUUGAUGACAUAAUUAAGAUAAUAUGCGUAGUAAUAUAGAGACAGUGACAAAGAAAUGAAGAAAAAAAAUGCGUACGAGUACUCACCUAGCAAAGAAAGAAACGGAUGAAAGGUUCAGGAUAAUCACUUAGACGUUUCCAUGGAUGAUACCAGCUUGCUUCCAACAACAAAUAUAAUUAACCUAAGCUAUGAUCGGUCAAUGUUUUUUUUAGUUUUCUUCUUUUUCAGAAAAAAAAAAAAAAAAAAACAGAUCAUCAAGGGAAAAGACUUGCAAAGAAGUAGAAUUAAUGGAACGAACACAACAAGGAAUCAAACUCAAGCAAUUAAAAGUAAUUGUCUAUGAGUACCAUCUGUGUCACACGCUCAAGUGAGGAGAGAAAACAAGGAAAAAGAAAGGAAAGGGACAAGGAAGGCAGAAAGUAAGGUCACGUAGGGCUAGUCUUGUAGAAAGUGGGAGAGAGAGAGAGAGAGGUUAAAAAGGCUUAAAAAGAAAAGAAAAGGAAAGACAGAAAUAAAGGAAAGGACGUGGAAAUAGAAGGAGAGGUUGAGGGAGGCAGAAACGGAAGGAGACAUUGAAAGAUCGGAAGAGAGCAAAGAAAACAACAUGUUUGAGUGGGAUUUUUUUGUGCCUUUGAUAAAAAUACUCUGUUUUUUUUUCUCUUUGAUUGGGAUUUUUUUGUGUCUCUUUUAUUUGGAAUUUCUUUGGACACUUUAAUAAUAUAAUAACAAAAAAUAAUUUGAUUAAAUUAUUGUUCAUUCAAACACAGAUUUACUGUGGACUCCAAUAGUAUUUUUCACUAUAUUUUGAAUUUUAGUUUUUGAUAGCCAUGCUCGUUUGAUUUUUUUUUUUUUUUUUCAUACUCUUCCAAAUAAUGCAAGAAAUGAGGACCUGAAAUAACAGCAGCGAAUAAGGAGAGAGAUAACGUGUUUGUUCUUGUUUCUUAGAAAGUAUUUUAAAAAAUAUUAAAUUAAAUUUUAUUUUAUUUUUAUUUCAAAUUAAUUUUUAAAAAAACUAAUUUGAAAAUUAAUAUGAAAAAAGAGGAUAAUAGAGUAGUUGUCCCAAUCAAAACACAUAAAUAUAGGACAAAAACAGGGAUAAUAGAGUGCUCUUUGUUUUCUUAACUGUAUUGGUUUAAUAAGGUUUAUAGAGUGUUGUAUAAAUAUUUUAGAUAAAAAAAAGGUUAAAAGCAAGUUUUUAAAUAAAAAAAAAAGCUUUAUUUUUUUAUAUAAUUUAAAUAAAAUCAAUUUACUUAGUUGUUAAGAAUUAUAACUCAAGGGGAAAAACUUACAAAGAAGUAGAAUUACCGGAACAAACACAAGAAAGGAUCAAACUCAAGCAAUGAAAAGUAAUUGUUUACGAUGAUCAUCUCACUAAGUAAGGAGAGAAAAGAAGGAGAAAGAAAGGAAAAGGACAAAGAAGGCAGAAAGUAAGGUCACGUAGGGCCAGUCUUGUAGAAAGUUUGAGAAUUAGAGAGGCUGUUUGCUGCCAAGUGCCACGUGACACAAACGAAGCUACCCCUUACCUACUCCUGGAAAGGAAUGUCAGACUAUACUGCCUUUUUCAAUUCAUUAAUGUCGUUCCCAUCAUAUACAUGUUUUAUAUUCUUAAAAUUGCUCUGUGGGAUUGCAGGCCAUGCUCGUUUGAUUUUUUUUAUAACAAAAUUCUUUCCGUAUAAUUUUCCAACAUUGCACUUGGAUACCAAACUUCAAUUUACUCUUUUUCAAGGUUUUUUUUUUUUUUUUGGAGAAAAGAGUGGGUCCUUGAAUUUUAUUUCAGAGAGAGAAAGUUGUUGUUAGCUAUCAAAAUCAUUGAUUUUUGUGUCAAAUGAUAAUCAUCUAUUUUUUUUCUGUGUGUUCAUACUUAAAACCUUCUUAAAGAGUUCUUAUCAAUGACUUUAAAACCACUCUUUCUAGAUCAAAAGGUUAGAAAUAACUCUCUACCCUCUAAAUCUAACAAAACCACCAAGUACCUUUAAAACCAAAACCACAAUUGCAAAACUAGUUUAGUAUAAGAACUUCUAACUAUUAGCUUUUGUCCAUAACUCUCUCAUUUUGAUCUAAUGGUUAAACUUUCAUUAAUUUUUAAGGGAAUCUAUAAAAAAACCUAGAAAAACUCUAUAAAUACCCUUGAAAAUCAGAGUCAGAGAGAAGGAGAGAAGGGGAGAAAAGGAGAGAAAAAACAUGGGGAAAAAAUUUGUUAAUAGACUCUAUUACGAAGGUUCAAGAGCUUAAUAUAAAAGGUCUAAACAACUUUUAAAAAAAAAAAGUUAAAAGAAAAGAAGGAAGGAAAUGAGAAGAAAAAAAAAUAACAACGUAAUUUUGAACUUAGAAGGCCUAAUUUCAGUGCAAGUUGAGAGCAUUAGAGACUAGACCGUGCUUAUACCAAAAACGACUCUCAUCGUUGAAGGAAUGCAAACAGUUGUUAACGAGACACUCAUGCUGUUCCAACAUUCAAAGAUUGUUGAAUCUAGUACUGGUGCUCAUUCUGGAUCUAGUACCAAAAGGAAUAUAGAAAGAGAUUACCAUUGGGGCAAACGUGGGCAAUGCAUUUAUAAUAGCCAGAGAGGUGUUUUUAUAUACAAUCAACAAUUAAGGUAUCUUCUUGUGCUGAGCUUCCAUCAUGGUUGCAAGACAUUACCAUUGGGGCAAGGUCAUUUUGCUCGUAAAAGCAAGUUUUAAUUAAAAACUAAAUAAAUAAAGUAUUGAAAAUUGUUAUAAUCAAUUUGAAAAAACCUAAUAACAAUAGAUUAUUAUUCUUGUUAAACCCCUAACUUCAUAAUAAAAUUUGAUUAUCCUAAUACAAGAUUUAAUAUAAUUUCAUAGUUGUUAAACACUAACUGGACAUACAAAAAAGUACAAAUUACAACAAAAAAAUAAUUUGUUAAUAGACUUAUUAAAUUGGAGGACUAAACUAAAAAUGUCAUAAGUUCAUGACUAUACUAAAAUUCUUUCCAUAAUUCAUCCUCAAUUUUAUCUAGAAUUUCAAAUUAUGCUCCAGAAAUCACUCUGGAAUUUUUUUAAAUUUCUAAGGUCAAAUUAUAAUUUCAUCAAAUUGGAGGAUCAAAAUGAAAAUGUCAUAAAUUCAUAACUAUACUGGAAUUCUACCCAUAAUUCAUUUUUAAUUAUGUCCAGAAUCUUGGAUUAUACUUCAGGGACCAAUCUCUAAUUUUUUCACAGUUCAGGGAUUAAAUUAUAAUUUUUAUAAAUUGAGGGACUAAGCUGAAAUUUCAUAAUCUUCAACCUCAAACCCAGAAUUUACAUAGAUAACCUAUUGAUAUAUCAAGAUUUCUAACUCAAAUUCACCAUUUAAAUAAAUUAUCACUCAAAAUUAUUAUUUUUAUCAAAAAGCUUUUAAAAUCAACUAAAUAACUCGUUAGCAUAUCAAUGAACCAAUAAUUUUUCUAUAAUGUAAUUGUAAUUCCUAGCAUAAUGCAUAUUGGAGGGCAAGCACAACAACUCAGGAGCAAAAAACUCGAUGAAAUAGCAAAAUAAAAAGACUUGAAGGACUGAAAUAAAAUAAAACAAAAAAAGAGGGAUGAAAAAACUAACCGCAUUCUGGUUGCCAUAAAAAACAUAGUUCUUUUAGUAUAUAUUUUUUUAAAAUAUUGUAAUAGGUCAAUCAUAUUACCCGAGUAUGUGACACAGAGAUGAUCAUCAUAGAAAAUUACUUUUAGGUGCUGGAGUUUUAUCCUUAGAUGACAAACUUACCUUUUUGUCCUUCUAAUGCUUUUGCUUUCAUUGUUUCGAAAGUAAAAGAGACAAAAACAUAAUCAUUUCCUUCCUUUUACUUUCCACUUCUUUGUAAUGGAUUGCAAACGGGAUGGUGCUUAGGGGGGGCCAGUUUUUCUUUUCCUUUCUUUUUAAAAUCUUAUUCCUUGGGUGAGGAAAUUAGUGGAGCAUUAGACUUUUUAAAAGACAACAAAAAGAAUUAAGUAAUGUCUCAUCUUUUGAUAUGGUGGUACAAGAUGCACCAUGGUAUGGUGGUCUUGCAAGAAUGUCUUAUCUUUUGAUAUGGUUGUCUUUCAUGAUCAGUUUGUUGAUGAGGAUAUCAAAAGAUUCGAGUCUCCGCUCUAGUUCAGGUUGGAAGCUAGGCAGAAAGCUAAGCUUCUUGUAAUUAUGAAUUGUUUAUGCAAAGGAAACCCAGAAGCUUGAACAAACAGAAAUGCCUUGUUGAUUUCUCUGCUACUACUCAUUAUUUCCAAUAUUAUUCCAUUAUCUUACCCGAAAGCAAUUAUACAAGAAAUUUAAUUAUCCUGCCCCAAAAGGAAAUUUAUUACAAGGACUUCCUUUAACCUCCUUGAAGGCAAUUUAUUUGAUGAAAAUUCCUUUAAUCCACCUCGAAGACAAUUUAUCUUAGGGAAUUCCAACAACCCAGACAAUUUAUUUCUUGGAAAUUCCUUUAACCCACCCUUAAGGCAUUUUAUCAAAGGGAAUUCCAAAAUCAAUUUAUUUCUUGGACUCGGUAUUCUCUGGUACUAGUUAUUUAUAUAUAUUUAACAACACUUUUAUCUUACAUUUAAAAAGAAAUUCAAAAGAAAGGAUAACCCUUACCUAGAGCUCCUGUGGUUCUUGUUCCCGAGAGAAUUGGCUCCACUACGGGCAAAUCUACUACCAAAAACCCAAGUUUCAACCAAUCAAUAACAUCAACACCCAUUUUAAUUCAAUGCAAUAAGUUUUUCUUAACCAAUUUACUUGAUGCAAGUUCUUAUAAUCAAAGUGACAGUAUUCGAGGUGAAGACAAGCAGAAGGGCGUGAUAGAGUUUGACAAAGAUCAAGCUAGUUCCAAUAAAGGGAAACACUCUAUGGCCUAUGCAGGCCAAACUGCAAUGGCAUCCAAUAAGUGAGGACAAUCUUGUAUCUUCCAAGUGGCAGUAGAAUUUAAUUAUAACUACCAUUAUUCUUAUCUUUAGUUAGUAAUAUAACUCUAUUUAUUGUAUCUAUUAGGACAUUUUGUAAUGAAAACCUGUUAGUUAUUUGGUGUGAUUCCAAGGAGUGAUUCCUUUGAAUGAUAUCAGGCUCUACUUAUUUCAUAUUCCUUGCAAUUCUUGGAUUCUGCAAUAAAGUUAUCCGAAUUCUUUUCCUCUAUCAAUACUUUCUUGCUAUCUUUUAUAUAAUGUUCAUUAGUUUACAUAAAUUGUUCCUUUAAUAUCGUUUGGUAUUAAUUGAUAUCAGAGCAAGUUUUGAAUUUUGUUCUUCUAUGCCUGGAAUCGCAGUGGAAAUUCUUAUAAUCCCACCAAUAAAAGAUUACAGGACCCAAACCAAUUCUGAACUCCCCGUAGAAAACAUCUCCAAACCCAUUUUGAAUCACCCACAACAAGCAUCUCCACAACCUAUUAUGAACCCCCCAUAACAAGCACCUAUUAUGAACCCCCCAUAACAAGCAUCUCUACAACAUGAUUCUACUUGUUAAACCAGUUACAACCACAAAUGGAGUUGGUUACCCGCACCUUGGGAGCCAUUGUUGAACAUCUGGAUAACAGUGAAGAAAGGAGUAAUAUUGAUGAAAAUUGAAGGGGCAGAGUUGAUCAAGGAGGAGAUGUGGCUAUAGAUGAUGAAGAAGUAGGAGAACAUUAGCUCAAUUCAGUCUACAGUAACAGGGAGGUCAAAAUUGAAAGAUAUGACUAUUUUCAUUAAUUUUAUUAAAGCUUAUAAUAAAACGUUGUGUUUUUAAUUGGAAUUUUUUUUUUUAUAUGGCUUGGCUUUUUUAUUUUUUUUAAAUGCAAUCUCCUUCCCUUUAUCAUACAGAAAUCCAGUUUUGAGUUUAUGUAACUAUAUUAACAAAACGAUUAAAUGCUUUCGUGUCAGUUUAAUUAUUUAUAUAAAUAAUAAACCCAGUUAAUAUAUUUUUUAAUCAGUUUAUGAUAUAUUUGUCUCAUAGUUGAGUUAGUUAAUGUAUGUUGAUUGAUCCGAAGGUAGUGGGUUCAAGCUAUACUAGGAAUAAUAUUAUGUUUUUUCAAAUUAGUAGCAAAGGCGUGUGGGCUUGUCUCAGGCUCACAUGCUAGUGCCUGAGUUUUACUGUAAUAGACCCUAUCAUAUUAGGCCACGUAAGCCGGAGUGGUUGGAUAUUUUUUUAUUGGUCAUUUUAAAUUUUUUUAUUUUUUUAAUAUAAUUUUUUAAUUUUAUAUUUUAAUGUUGAGUUUUUUUAUUGAGUUUUAUUUGUCAAUAUUGAAUUUAUUAUAAAUUAAUUUUUGUAUUUUUUAUUAUAUAUAAAAUAAAAAAGUUUAAUUUAAAUUAAUAGAGUUUAUAAUCCGAGUAAAGUACUUGGUGGGUUAGUUAUAAACCUGAACUUUUUUAUUUUUUAUUUUUUGGAAAAGUAAAAGACAAAUUAAAAAAAUAAAGUAAUCUAUCUUUUUGAUAAGGUGGUUCAAGAUGCACCAUGAUACGGAUGUAUUUUAUUUUAUUUUUGCCUUUUUCUUUUAAAAAUGUUAUCUAAGAUGGAAAUACUUGCAUCAUGAGUAUGUAUUGGCCUACAAGUCCAAGCUAUUUGUGAUCAGGAUAACCUAUCAUGUCGAGCAUUAGAGUUUUUAAAAGACAAAACGGGGACAAGUGGGAGGCGAAGAAAAAGACAAUAGUAGGUGGUCUAAGAUACAUCUAUCUAUAUAUGACAAUAAUAAAACAAGCCUUUAAAACAACUCUGAAAACAAAUUUUUUUAUAAUUCAUAAUUUAUAAACACAUGCGAUAAAAUAACACUAUUAGAAAUUCGUUAAAUAGCAAUGAAUUUACCGACAAAAUAUUUCUGUCGGUAAUUUAAGGUCGAAAUUACCGACGAAACUUUUUUCGUCCAUAGUUCAAUCGGUAACUGCCGACGGACACUUUUCGUCGGUAGUUACCGACUGAAUUACGGAUAGAAAGUUCAAAAUUAAAAAAAAAUAGACGGGCCGCUGACGUGGAGGUUUUGGCUGGGUGAUUUUUUUCGACAAAUUCAAAAUGACAACGUUGUACAGUCACGUGACCUGCUCACCGUUAAAAAUACCGAUGGAAUCACCGAGGGAUUACAGGACCCAUUUGAACUCCCCGUAGAAAACAUCUCCAAACCCAUUUUGAAUCACCCGCAACAAGCUUCUCUACAACAUGAUUCUACUUCCUUGUUAAACCAGUUACAACAACAAAUGGAGUUGGUUACCCGCACCUUGGGAGCCAUUGUUGAACAUCUAGAUAACAUUGAAGAAAGGAGUAAUAUUGAUGAAAAUUGAAGGGGCAGAAAUGAUCAAGGAGGGGAUGUGGCUAUAGAUGAUGAAGAAGUAGGAGAACAUUAGCUCAAUUCAGUCUACAGUGACAGGGAGGUCAAAAUUGAAAGAUAUUACUAUUUUCAUUAAUUUUAUUAUAGCUUAUAAUAAAACCUUGUGUUUUUAAUUGGAAUUUUUUUUAUAUGGCGUGGCUUCUUUUUUUUUUUUUUAAUGCAAUCUCCUUCCCUUUAUCAUACAGAAAUCCAGUUUUGAGUUUAUGUAACUAUAUUAACAAAACGAUUAAAUGCUUUCGUGUCAGUUUAAUUAUUUAUAUAAAUAAUAAACCCAGUUAAUAUAAUUUUUAAUCAUUUUAUGAUAUAUUUGUCUCAUAGUUGAGUUGGUUAAUGUGUGUUGAUUGAUCCGAAGGUAGUGGGUUCAAGCUGUACUAGGAUUAAUAUUAUAUUUUUUCAAAUUUAUAGCAAAGGCGUGUGGGGCUGUGGGCUUGUCUCAGGCUCACAUGCUAGUGCGUGAGUUUUACUGUAAUAGACCCUAUCACAUUAGGCCACAUAUGGUUGGAUAUUUUUUUUAUUGGUCAUUUUAAAUUUUUUUACUUUUUUUAAUAUAAUUUUUUAAUUUUAUAUUUUAAUGUUAAGUUUUUUUAUUGAGUUUUAUUUGUCAAUAUUAAAUUUAUUGUAAAUUAAUUUUUGUAUUUUUUAUUAUAUAUAAAAUAAAAAAUAAUAAUUUAAAUUAAUAGAGUUUAUAAUUCGAGUAAAGUAUUUGGUGGGUUAGCUAUAAACCUUAACUUUUUAUUUUUUAUUUUUUAGACGAGUAAGAGACAAAUUAAAUAAACAAAGUAAUCUCAUCUUUUGUUUUUUUUUUUUUUGUUUUGCCUUUUUCUUUUAAAAAUGUUAUCUCCUUGGUAAGGAAUCCUUGGUUCCCAACAGCAACUGUAGCAGAGUUGACGGUUGCGUAAAAACAAAUCUCUAAACUCCACCGAAAGUAGUGGAGCAUUAGAAUUUUUAAAAGACAAAACGGGGACAAGUAGGAGACGAAGAAAAAGACAAUAGUAGGUGGUCUCAGAUACACCGUAUAUAUGACAACAAGACAAUUGACCGUGCGAUGCGCGAGUUAUUUUUUUUACAUAAAAAAUAUUAAAAUAAAUAAAAGUUUAAAAAUUUUGAGUUUUUCUGUAAAGUUAUACAUAAAAAAUUUAAGUUUGGCUGCAACGCCUGACCUAAGAGUAAUAUUUAUAAUAUUAAUAAUAAAAUUAAACUUGCUGCAACACUGGACCCAAGAAUAUUGGAUGUGGGUCUAGAUAUAAGGUCGUGUCAUAAAAGUGUGAUAAUUAAAUAGAUUGAUAAAAAAAAACAAAGAAAAAAAGUCAACACAAAGGAAAAAACUAAUGAAGUAAAAGAAAAAGAAAUUAAAUUAAUUGAGUUAACCCUUUAAACCAGGUUAUCCCGUAAAACCUGGGAUUCACAUCAUAAAAGUUUGAUAACUAAAUAAAAAAAUAAAUGACGGGUUUACCCAGAAUUAACUGGGUUAACCCAUUAAACCAAGUUAACCCGUCAAGCCCAGGACACGUGUCAUGAAAGUAUAAAAGUCUGAUAAUUAAAUACAAAGAAAAUUAACUUUAACAAACUAAACUAAAUGAAAAAAAUAAUUUAUCAAAUCAGGCUAACCCAUCAAAUCCAAGAUUCGUAUCAUGAAAAUCUGAUAACUAAAUAAAAAAAUUUAACAUUAACAAAUUAAAUCAAACAAAAAAAAUUCAUUAAAAAAAAUUAAAAAGAAAAAAAGGAAAAAAAUAGUUAUAUAAUAUAAAAUAAUAUAAUACAAUGUAAUUAUAAUUAUAAUUAUAAUUAUAAUAAUAUAAUAUAUUAAUAAGUAAAUAUAUUAGUAAAAGGUGUGACAUGCCCGCGCGAUGCUGCGGGCUUACGGCAUGCUCGUGCAUUAUUGUGGAUUUGUGAAAAAAAUCAUAUAAAAAAAAUGUUAUCAUCCACAAUAUUUUAAAGGAAAAAACUACAAAACUAUAUUCUCAACCAGCUUAAUAUUAAAAAAAAAAAUCGACAAAAACAAUUAUAAAAAAAAACAAAAAAAAAAGAAGAUGAUAAUUUUGGAAGAAAAAAAAGCAAAAAGCAAAUAAUAAUAAUAAAAAAAAAACACGUGGGGAAAGUUAAAGUUAAAUUUUCAACCAGCUUAAAAUCAUUUAAGAAAACACUGUAGCAAUCUAUAGUGUUUUGUGAAGAAAUAUACAACUAUAAUUCUCAACCAGCUCAAUAUUAAAAAAAAAAAUCAAUAAAGAUAAUUUUGACAUAUAUAAAAAAAAACGAAAGGAAAAAAAAACAUUCAUGGAAACACUAUAACAAUCUAUAGUGUUUCGUGAGAAAAUCUACAUUUGUAAUUUUUAACCACCUCAAUAUCAAAAACAAUAAAAACGACAAAGACAAUUUUAAAAAAAACAUAACAAAUAAAAGCAUAUGGAAAAACACUGUAGCAAUCAACGAUGUUUUAAGGAAAAAAACUAAAUUGUUAGCCAAUUCAGUAUGAAAAAAAUAAAUUUGACAAAAACAUAUUUGGAAAAAAAGCAUCGACAAAAAAAAAAUGUGGGGAACACUGUAGCAAGGAAAAAAUAAUAUGGGAAAACACUGUAGUAAUCUACAGUGUUUUAAAUAACUACAAAGCUAAAUUCUCAAUCAGCUUAAUAUAAAAAAAAUAAAAUCGACAAAGAUAAUUAUGAAAAAAAAAUUAUUUAAUAAAAAGACAUGUAGAGAAAUGACUAUUCACUAGACUUGUAGAUAUUAAUUAUAAAGUUUUUGAAAGUUUUCAAUCUAGUAUUUGAUUUUUUUGUUUGCAUAAUUGAAUCUCUUUGAACCCAAAUUAAAAUUUAAUUGCAUAUAUUAUUUUAAUAAAAUAGUUUGAAAAACAAAAAACUGAAGUAGAAACCCAGUAAAAAUAUGUGGUGAUACUAUAAUUUAUUUGUAAAGUUUAUUUUAAUUUCUUAUUUUUUUUAAAUUACUAGGUAAUAUGUCCCUAUAAUUUCUUGAAAUUGCAUUUUGAUACCAAAUAUCACUAGUUGUUUUUUUUAAGGAGAAAGAGUUAUUAUUAAGUAUUUUAACUAUCAAAAUAGUUGAUUUUUUAUGAUAAAUAAUUCCAUAAUCUGGCUUUCUUUUCAAAGUCCAGCUAAGUUUUUGGCUUAUUAUGUUCACAUAGAGAGGUGGGAUUUUAUAAGCCAUGCAAUAUAUUUUUUUUUUUGGUAACCAAACAUAACCACAAGCCCAAAAGAAAACAAUUUUAACAAUACCCACCAAACAGUUGAAGUGCUAUGUAGUAAUGAUUUUUUAGAAUUGUAUUUUUUUUUGGUAAGAUAUUGAAGUAUUUUUUAUUUUUAAUAUUAAUAUAUUAAAUUAUAAAAGAAUAUUUAAAAAAUAUCAAUUUAAUAAUUUUUAAAAUAAAUAAUUUUUAAUUUAAAAAAUAUCUAAAAAUAAAAGAUACCAUACUCCUGAACGAGCUAUAAAAUCAAUCUAAAAUUUUUAUAAACUCAAUUUACAAGCUGGGUACAGAAGUAUCAACACAACUACUUGAGAGACUGUUUAAAAUCAAUCCUUUUUAAAAAUAAAAAAACUCCUUAGUUGUUAAGGAAAGAUUGGUAGUGUGAACAAAUCACCAAAGUCAGCAGCAAGGAAGUUCCAGGAAGUGGGCAGCCUUUCUUCUGCUGCCAUUGUAAAAUCAUAUAUUUAAAAUACAGUAAUAAAAAUGUAAUACGCAGCUAAUUAAUGUAUUAAGCAGCUAAUUAAUGAUGUUGUUCUUUCUUCUUGUUUUUCUAUUUUGAUUUUAUUGUAUUUUUUCAAAAAAAUUAUGAUUGUGAAAGCUAGCCAAAGCAUUAGUUCCAAGCAAUCUAUGAGGUUAUUUAACAGUGUGGUUGUCAUUGCUUUUCAAUGUAUUUUUCAUUCGAAAAUACAUCAAAAUAAUAUUUUUUUUAUUUCUUAAAAAUUAUUUUUAAUAAACAUAUCAAAAUAAUCUGAAAACACCAAACAAUUAUUAAUUUGAAGUAAUUUUUUUUUAAAAUGCUUUUAAAACACAAAAAACAAACAGAAAAACUAGUGUAGGUGCGCUCAACAUUGUCCCGAGAUACUUUUAUAAUCUAAGUUUUUUAAUAUAUUUUUUAUUUAAUUAUGCAAUAUAUUCAUAGAAAACACCCAAAAUAAAAUUAUAGACAAAAAAUAUAUAUUUCAUCAAAAUUCUCUAGUCUAAUUCAUGUAUUUUUCUUCAAAAAAAAGUUUUUGAUGAUAUGAAAAGUAAUAACAACCAGGAAAAGUCUCCUAAGAAACUGUAAUGAUUUGAACUAAAAAAAUAUUUUUUUGUUGAAAACAUAGUUUUUUUAAUUCAUGAAUUUUUUUUAUUGAAAAGAAAUGUACUUUUUAUGAGUAAUUUUAUUUUGCUCAAAUGUCCCUAAUACAUAAUUAUUCAUAAAAUAUUGAAAAUAUCAUAAUAAAAAUGCCUAAUCUUCUUAAAAACAAUUAAAUAAUUGAACAAUCACUUAAAUAUUAUUUUAAUAAAUUGGAUUGAAAGAUUUUUUUUUAUUAAAAAUAAAGAAUAAAAAAAAUGAAAUGAUAUCUAAGAUAAAGGUUAUACAAGCCUUGAAAGAUAAUAUAUGUACGUGUAUAAUACAAAUUAAUAAAUUCUAAGUAGCAAUAUUUAAUGCAAGUUUAAGAAUAAGAGUUUGCUUUGUGUUUUGUUGUGAGAUUAACCAUAUCAAAUUAUAUAUUUAAUAAUAAAUAACUGUGUUGUGUUAUGAGUAAAAUCAAUAAAUUAUUUGGUGUUCUGCUAUCUUGUUGUUUGAAUUAAAAUUAUUAUUAAGAAUAUAAAUUAAAUAAAAUAUUGAACAAACUAAAUGAAUUGCUUAAUAAAUAAAUAAUUUUUUUUUUUAGAAAGCAUGGAAAUGCCAUGACAUUGGCUUUUUAGAUAAUACUACAAUAUUAACAGCCAAAGAAAUCAUCGAUAGCUGUGUAAAUCAUCGAAACUGCCACAAAAGCAGGAGAGGUAUUUCUUUUGGCAACACAUAAAUGAAAAAGAAUAAGAGUUCCUAGAUCUGAAAUAGGAGGAUAUAAUAGAUAUGCAAUAUGAGAGGAGGUUCCAAGAUUUAUUUAUCUUUGCCACCAUUUACAUUUCCACCGAGCAUCAUCUAGUAAAACAAUUCCGGGAUGGACUUAGACAUGAGCUGAAGCUAACCUUGAUAACUAUACAAUUCCGGGAUGGACUUAGAAUUGGUGUGGGCUAGAGGAUAAUGAAUAACACUAUGAAGCCAACUAAUAAGCAGAGUCAAGUAAAUUGUUCAUAAUGAAUAACACUAUUUAAGAGAAGAGACUUUAUGCAUCCUACAAAGAGGACCCCUCCAAAAAAAAAAAGAAAAAAAAAAGGAUAGUCGUUCGAGCAAUUUCAUGGAAGAAGGGGGAGCUUUAUUCACGGGGAAAAUUCAGGGGGAGCUAAAUGCUGGAGCUUUAUUCAUAGUUGGAUCAUUUGUGAUUUUAGUGUUUGCUACUCUCAGUACUUAUAUUAGAAGUGCUCUCAUCUUUGAAGGAAUGUAAAAAAUUGUUAAUAUGAAACUUAUUAUGUAUAGAAAAUUGUUGUUUUUUUUUUUUUUGGGUUUGAAUUAAUAUAAACAUACACAAUUAGUUGAAUUUCAAGAAUGAGCGAAUUUCAAGAAUGAGCUAACUUAAGAAUAAUCAUAAGUAUGUUUUUGUUAGAAAUAACUUUUUACUUAAAUAAAAAAUGUGUUGCAAAAUUGAUUUAUAAGUUUCUUUUUUCUUACUUUUAAAUCAUGGAUUGCAUCUUACACAAUAUUUUUGUUAAUUAAAAAAUAGUUAAUUUGAGUUGUUUUUAUUAAACAUCCUUAUAAUUAAUUCAUUUUCACAGUGAAUUAUUUAUUAAAAACAAAUUAAGAUUAACACUUAAAAAAAAAUAAAAAAAUAAUUCAAGAAUCAUAUUAAAAAAUUCUUAAUUUCUCACAGCACAACAAAAUGCUUUAAAAGAAAGCUAAUAAUCUGACAGGAGGUGGGGCUGCUCUUAGCCAAUGAAAACAGCUUCACAUGCAACACAUCAACAUGAAAAAAAAGAUUAUCAGCCUGUUUUUUCCUUAAAGAACACCCUCUUGGAUUCUCUAGCAUUAGCCACAAAGGUAUCUGCUUGGAAAAACCAUUCCACAAUCUAGAAAUUUAAAUGCCCAAAAAUACAUCGAUUGACAACAAGUCACAUGCCCAUACAUACAUUAACAUUGAUUUCAGAUCUUUUACAAAUUCUAAUCUUUGUAAGAAGCUGUUUUGCUGCCCAUCGGAUGUGACCACCUGACCAGAAGACAAUAUUAUAUUUUUUAAACCCUUCACUCUCAUAAACAACAAUUUAUAUGAUUAUAAAUAGGAUAAAAUAGGAUUACAUAUUUUUAGAAAUUACCUAUUACUGUUUUAGUUUUUUUUUCCUUAAUUAGAGAUAAGUUGAAUAAAGUAGUAACAAUUAUAUUUUUGAGAGAAAAAGUAACUACAACUCCUAAUAAUUAGUUUCGUGUAAGAAAUAAAAAUAAUUAUGUUAAUAAACUUUUAAAGAUAUUUUAAUUGAAUUAAGUAUUUCAACACAAAAUUUAUGCUCUUAUACAGUUAUAUAUUAAUUCUAACAAAAAAUAUGAUUUCUAUGUUUAAAUGUUGGUAUUAAUAACGGAUACAACAAUGAGGCAGUUAAGUUUGGUGGAUAAAAUAAAAUCAUUAAUAAAAUAAAAAUAAGCUAGUAUGUUUGUUACAUAACUAAAAAUAUUUAAUUUUUUUAUAUAUAUUUUUUUAAAUUAUUUUAAUAUGCUGAUAUCAAAAAUAUAUAUUAACAAGUUUUUAUUUCAAAAAUAAUAAUAAUAAUCCUUUGCUAGAAACUUAACAAAAGCCUUUUAUAGGUGCUCCCUCACGCGUCGUCUUAGUUGCUGACCAUUGAUUGCUCAUUGCUUGAUGCGUGGAGAUAGGAUCAGAUUUUUAAAGCUAAAUCUUGCAUCAAGGGUGGCUACUGGUAUUGAUGUCAUUUUCUUAGGUCAAUGAACAUUAUUUUUUUACAAUUUUAUAUUUUCAUGUAAUGUUUUGUGAUAUUUUAUCCUUGCAUUUUCUUGACAAUUUAAUGUGUUUUGUUGCAUUUUCUUUUAAAAUUAGAAAAAAACUCAAAAAAUGUCUUUUCAGUAGUUUUAUUCAUUUCGUUAUUUUUUUCAUUUAUUUUUUGUGUGUCAAGAAAUCUUGAAAAAAACAAUAUAAAAAUACAAAAAAUAAAUAAUAUAAAAAUAUGUAGUUGGGGUUGCAAUUGGACCAAUAUUUGAGUAUCACAAGUAAAAAUAAAAUUUGUAAAUUUUUAAGUCAUAAUUAAGAUUCGAAUUGAAGAUAAAUGGGCUAAAAUUGGCUAAAAUUGAAAGAAAUUGAAGUUCAAGGAUGAGUUUGGAACAAAUAGCCAAGUUAGAAAACCAAUUAAGAGCUUUAUUGAAGAAACAAAUUGAAAUUGGAAUGCAAUUUGACUCAAAACAAUGAAGAAUUGAAGGACCAAAGCCCUUAAAUGGAUAAAGCCGAUAAUUCAGAGGUCAUAUUCUGUCAGGGUUUUACUUGAAAGAAAUUUUUAAAAAAAGGUGAAAUGACCGAACUAAGGAAGAUUCAAAAACCAAUGAUUAAAAUGCAAAAAACGCUGAAAUGCAGGGACUUACAUGAAAAUGGGCCUAAUUUAAUUAGAAAAGAAACCCCAGGGCCUAAUUAGAAAACCUGUUUCAAAUAAAGUGAGACGAUGUGUUUUCUUGGGACUAGAGUUCAAAUUGCCAACAAACUCCUCUUGCCAUUCCCUAAUUGCACUGAGCCAGCUAAUCUGGAUGAAAGUUAUCGAUAGCUGUGAAAAUCAUUGAAACCGCCACAAAAGCAAACUCAAAUUAGUUAUGAAUUGGAUUCGAUGGAAGGAAGAUGGGAAGAGGGGAAAUUAAAGAGAGAUGAAGAUCUGCGCAUGGCUACCUGUUUUUGAGAGAAUUAUGGAAAGUUAUCCCAACUCAAAACGGCACCAAUUAUAAGUUCAGUAAAAAAAAUCUGGAACACAACAGAUGGAAAAAACUGCUACAAUUUAGGCAAGAAAUUCAGAAUGAGCCAAGAUUUCAAGUGAGAUGAAACUUUUUGUCUCACUUUUUUUUUUUUUUUUUUUUUAAUAGUAUCAUGGAUAACUAAACAGAGGAACGUUAAGAGGAUAGAAUAUUUAGAAUCACUAGCAAUAGCCAGCUGCUAGGUAUCUGCUCGAAAAACCCUUACUAUUAAUGCUAGGCAGUAAGGUUCUACUUAUAAUUUAGAAUUAGUUCUCAGCAACUUCACAGUUUAACUAAAACAUUUCUUAGCAAGUCUUUUGUAAUGAAUAAAGUAGCCAGGAUCAUUUCCAGCAUACUUCCACCUUUAACGAAGCAAUUAGGGUUUCUAGCAACUUUAACUUGCUAUAUACAAGUUUAACUCUUAUCAUGAACAUUGGCAUUUAAUGGAAAUUCAGUGCAGGAUAAUAAGGAAUUAAGCUUCAUGAAACAUGAAAUAAUGCAAGAGUUAAACAGGCUCUUGAUUUCCAACAUCACAAGCUAUAUGCCUAGAAAGAAGCUUGUGAAAGGGUUUGUAAUUAAGCAGCAAACAAUUAGAAAUCAGAGGAUACAUUGCAAUUGCCAGCAAUGUAUCUGCUCGAAAAAACCAUUCAACAAGGGGUUCUGCGAGGAAAACAUGAGAUUGUUCAUACAAUAGAUUGGAUAUCAGUUUCAAACUUUUGAACAAAUAAUACAACAUCAAGUCUCAGUCAUCACAUGAUCAUACGAAAACAUUUAUUCAAGAUCUUAAGCGGCAUUGCCAGGCCCAUUUCCAAAACCACAUAAGCAUAUGCAAUAGAAACAGAGCAUCAAACUGACAGAGAAAACAUACUGAUGCAGCAAAUACCCAAGUCGUAGAGCCAUUAAUUUGAGUAGAAAGGAGAAUGAAAGUCCACACAUUAAACAGUACGCACAUACAUGAGUAGACAUUAUGCUGUUUUUGAAGAUUCAGACACUUCAAAAGAAACUCAAAUGGGCCAACACACACUUAUUUUUGGGAAGUUCACACAGCAAACACGUACAUAGAUAAGUCGAAAUCUUCUUUUGGUAAAUAAAAUUGUUACAAUGUGAAGCCAAUUUCAAUCCCAUUGCCAAUGAAACAGUUGGAAUUAUUUCCACCAAUCUAAAACAUAUUCCAUGUAAUAGGUAACAUGGACAACCUUGCCUGAUGCAAACAUGAAGAACAAAGACAUGAAGACAUGAAUAUCCGUGAAAUCGCCUAAGGUGGAGUUGAUCAUGUAAUAGGUAACCAACCUUGCCUGAUGCAAACAUGAAGAACACAGACCAUCCAUGCAUAUCGCAUAUGUUAAUUUAAUUCGAACUUUAAAAGUUGAAGGAAAAGGAGAGCAGAUAAAUAAUUGCAGCCAUAUCACCUGGUUUGGGCAAGAAAGAAUUAUUAGACUAGCAAACAUCAUCAUCACCAUACUCUUCUACUUCUUCUUUCCACCCAGUAUCUCGGGUCCGCUCUCUAUUAGUUCUUGAAUCUUCAGCUACUUGAGAUAUCUGUAAACCAAUUCAAGCAUGGCAUACACAUUCUAACUUGUAAAUCUUAUUAUUGAGCGAAAUAAGAAACAAACACACUAAAAGAGAUGCAAGAAAUCAAGUCAAAUCUACAGCACCUCUGAUUGAGCACUCAUUGAACCAUCUGGUGUAAUAGCAAAUUUUGUGCUCAACUUUGUGCAUUCAUACACCUUCAACUUCUCCAAACGUGGGAAUAAGAAAUCACAACAUCCGAAACUGAAGAGGACAAUACUUGAUAAUUGUUUUAGCAACAGCUCCUUUAGAUCGGAAAGCACCAUCUCCUUCUCAACAUUGACAGGUGAAGCAUGAUCAUCCUGCCCAAAUACUCCCAAUACUUGAGAGGAUUUUGUUACUCUAAGUAUUUGGAGCUUUGGGAGACUUAAAGCCAUGGCUACUGGGAAAAGGCUCUUCAACGUGUUGCAUUCUCUAAUCUCAAUAUGACUUAAAUUGGGAAAGCAUAAAGAUCGAAGAGGAUCUCCUAACAAUAUCUGGUCGUUUUCAUCAUCAUCCUUAGCAAUGAUUUGCUCUAAUUCCUCACAGGACAAUAUCUUUAGAGCUUUCAGUUGAACUAGAUUGAUAAUCAUGCUGCAUGUGAAUACAUGUGUCAGUCUCUUACAAUUAACCACCUCUAAAGUAGUCAAUUUGCUCAGCACAAGACCCUUCCAUAUACACCUCAUGUCAGGUAGGGAUUCCAAGUAUAAUGUUUCCAAAUUUGUCAGCCCCUGCAUCAAAAGAAAACAAGGAUACCAAUUUGUUAGAUAUAAUUCCUAAUAAAUUUUGUGCACUUUGGAACUAUAUAAUUUAAGUAAAUAAAUGAACGACUUGUCCCCAAUACUUCAGCCAAAAACUUAACAACAAAAGGAUACAAGUAGACAUGGCAACAGGGCAUGGGAACAUGAAAUCAGAAGUUGCAGGACUGAAAGAGACAACUCAAUAUAAGAUGGAGGUUUAUCUUCCUUUUCAAAUACUUCCAUUAAUUGGGGGAAGAGCCUCAAUUUCACUCAAACUUUGGAAAGCAUAAAGAUUGAAAAAUCUAGGUAGGAUUUCAUUACAAUAAUUAUUUGUUCUAGUGACAGCUACCACAAAUUAGGAAGCACCAUCUCCUUCUCAACUUUGAUAGGUGAAGCAUGAUCAUCUUGCACAAAUACUACUAAUAAUUGAGAAGCUUCACUUACUUUCAGUAUUUGGAGCUCUGGGAGACCUGAAGUCAUGGCUAUUGGGAAGAUACUCUUCAACUUGUUGCAUUUUCUGACAUCAAUUUCACACAAAUUGGGAAAGCAUAAAGAUCAAGAAGAUCUUCUAACAAUAUCUGGUCGUUUUCAUCAUCAUCCUUAGCAAUGAUUUGCUCUAAUUCCUCACAGGACAAUAUCCGUAGAACUUUCAGUUGAACUAGACUGACAAUCAUGCUACAUGUGAAUACAUGUGUCAGUCUCUUACACUUAACCACAUCCAAAGUAGUCAAUUUGCUCAGCGCAAGACCCUUCCAUAUACACCUUGUUGUAACCCAUUUUUGGGUCCCUAUAAAAAAAAUAAUAAAUAAAAAAAAAUAAAAAAAAUAAAAAAUAAAAAUGUGCGCAGUACUGGCGCAGUAACCUGUAGAUUAAUUCUCUGGUUACUGUACACACAGUAACCCGGUUACUAUGUGCACAGUAACCAGCCAAAAAAAAAAUAGAAAAGGGCUAAACGGUGCCGUUUUGAACGGCACUGUUCCCCUUUCUUCCCCGCCUAACAUACAGCAGUAGAGAAGGAAAAAAGAUGUAUAUUUAAUGGCGUUGGUCCCUCCAGCCCACCGACCGAAGACAUUGGCCGACCGCCUACCGCACCGCCGAAACUGAGGGAGGCACGCCUGGACAGCCACGCCCGACCAGCCGCCGCAUGACCCCACGAUGAAAAAAAAAAAAAAAACACAUGCUCACGGGCUAUAAAUGGAGGAGAAGAGAGGAGGAAGGAGGAGGGAGAGAGAGGGAACAGAAGAGGUAACAGAAGGGAGAAUAGAGUGAGAAGAGAGGAGAGAAGGCAGAGAAGAAGAAGGGAAGAGGCAGAGAAGAAAACGGGAAAAAACAGAGGAGAGAGAGAGAAGGAAAACCGCCGGCCACCGCGAACCGCCAGCGCCGCCGCCGCCACCCCUGCUGCAUCAGCUGCUGCCAGCAUCAACACAGCUUCAGGUAACGUCCUACCUUUCCCGUCAUUUUUUUGCUUCAGUUCAUGCAGAACGUUUACGUUCUGCAGAAUUAAUUAGCUAGUUACUGUGCACAGCACAGUAACUAGCUAAUUAAUUCACAUUACUGUGUGCACAGUAACCCCCGGUUACUGCAUUGCUAAUUAAUUCUGUGGUCACUGUGUGUACAGUACCCCCGGUUACUAUGUGCACAGUGACCAGCCUAUUCUUUGAGCCAGGUUCGGCCCAACCCAUAUAUUUGGGCCUGAUCCGACCCGUUUCAAAAAAAAAAAAUCAAAAAAAUUUGUUUCAGUAUUUUAUAAUUUUUUUAGUGUAAUUUUUAUGUCAUUUCGAUUAAUAUUUGAUGGUAUUUUUUUAUGUUGUUAAAAAUACAAAAAUCUGAUUUUUCAAAUACCCGGUUUUCGUAAAAAAAAAAAAAAAAAAACUUCCACAAAAUACAAAAAAUUAAAAAAAGAAAAAAAACUGUUUUUGUACAUACGGCCAAGUGUCUCAAAGCUAAAAAUUCAUAUUGUAUUUUUUUCAUACACAAAAAAAAUGUUUUAGCAUGCAUUUUGGCUUUAAUAACCAGUUUAUUAAAGUCAAGAGAAUAUUGGCCAAUAUUUCAAAAACAACAAAAAUUUUAUUUUGUUUCUCUUAGUAUCCGGGGUAUGACUUUACACGUAAUGCAUAUUCCGGAUAUUUAAUUCUUUUUUUUUGGACAAUAGAACCUGGGGUAUGACAUUACAUGUAAUGCGUAUUCCGAACAAUAAGAAACCACAACACGACCUUAGAUUUUAUCAGACAAAACAAUGCAGCCUACCUUAGGUAGGGCGUAGUUGGGGUGCUAAUACCUUCCCUUUACGCAACCAGUCUUCGUACCCGAUCUCUAAAGACCAGUUAGGGUUCCUAGUAACCAGAAUACUAGGUGACGACUCCCAGUCCAUAUUUGCACUUGUAGAGACAAGAAUUCCUUGUCUCUCCCUAUUUUCCAGGAAUAAAUAUUUUUCCAUUUUUUCCUUGAGGGUGGACGAUCGCCGCGCCGCCGCACACGUGCGAUACACCUCAUGUCAGGCAGGGAUUCCAAGCAUAAUGUUUCCAAAUUUGUCAAACCCUGCAUCAAAAGAAAACAAGGAUACCAAUUUGUUGGAUAUAAUUCCUAAGAGAUUUUGUGCACUUUGGAACUGUAUAAUUUUGGAAAAUAGAUGAACGAAUUGUCCCCAAUACUUCAGCCAAAAACAUCAACAAAAGGAUAUAAGUAGGCAUGGCAACAGGGCAUGGGAACAUGAAAUCAAAGUUGUAGGACUGACAGAGACAACUCAAUAUUAGCAGAUGGAGGUUUAUCUUCCUCUUCAAAUACUUCCAUUAAUUGGGGGAAGAGCCUCAAUUUCACUCAAACUUGGAAAGCAUAAUGAUUGAAAAUCUAGGUAUCAUUUCAUUACAAUAAUUAAUUUCUUACUUCUUAAGCCCUGCAUCAAGAGACAGGGAAAGAUACAUUUAGACAACUCCUUUUAAAUAUAGUGGAUGGCUAAUGGAUUUAUCUCCACUUAUCAUAGUGUAUUGAAGUUGACAAUUUAAAUAAAAAAGGAAAAAAUUAUUGGAGAAAUAUAAAGGACGUACUUGUAGCUGUGCCGACAAAUUACCCAAUUCUUCAUGGCCAGAGAUGCAUAGAUUUUGCAAAGAAGGUAAUUGGGCAGCAAAAUUCUUCAAACCAAAAAAGCUGUAAUUUGAUCUGGAAAAAAGCUCCAAUUUUCUUAGUCGAGGGAACUUGAUGAUGCCAUCUCUGGUGAGUGCAUCUCCUUCUCCACUGUGAAAUAUUUGCUUUAAAUUGUCAGCAAAUUCAAUCUCCAUCUCUUCCAGGUUCAGAAGGCUUGGAGACACAGAGAUAGGGAAGACAUAUUCCAGUUUACAACACUUUUCUAUGAAGAUAAAUUUUAAUUCUGGGAAGCCAGGAGACUCUGGAAUUAUCUCCCAUUCACCAUCCUCUUCUUUGAUAAUAUGCUUCAAUUCACCACAUUUUUCUAUCUUAAGUGUCUGCAGUUGUGGUAGACUCUGAGCGAGGGACGAUGUGAAGAUAAAUGUCAGUUUGUCGAGAGAAUACAAAUUCAGAAGAGUAAGACUUUGGAGGCUGACAUGUCUGGUGGACCCCUUCCAUAUACAUUUAAGCUCAGGUAGCUCUCGCACCUGUAACUUUGUUAAAGAUGACAGCAGCGGCAGCUCCUUCUCCUCACUGCUUCCUUCAUCAGCAUCACCCAAUUCAAAUACCUCUUCCAAUGAUUUGCAGUCCUUUAUUUCCACACUCUUUAGAUUUUUCAGAGCUUGCAGCAAUUUUGCUGGAAACGGAGUGCGGACAUCCCCACAAUCCCUCACUUCUACAAAUUCUAAUCUUUGUAAGAAGCUGUUUUGCUGCCCAUGGCCAUGGGCAACCAUCUGAUCAGAGAACAAUAUUAUGUUUUUUAAACCCUUCACUCUCAUAAAAACAAUUUAUAUGAUGUAUAAAUAGAAAAAAAAAAUAGGAUUAAAUAUAAAGUACAUACUUGUAGCAGUGCCAACCAAUUACUCACUUCUUUCCACCCGUUAUCUCUGGUCCACUCUCUAUUAAUGCUUAUAUCUUCAGCUACUUGAGAUAUCUGUAAGCAAUUCAAGCAUGGAAUACACAUUCUAACUUGUGAAUCUUAUUAUUGAGCGAAACAAGAAACAAACACACUAAAAAGAGAGAUAAGAAAUCAAGUCAAAUCAGCAGCACCUCUGAUUGAGUACUCAUUGAACCAUCUGGUGUAAUAGCAAAUUUUGUGCUCAACUUUGCGCAUUCAUACACCUUCAACUUCUCCAAACAAGGGAAUAAGAAAUCACAGCAUCCGAAACUGAAGAAUAAAAUACUUGGUAAUUGUUCUAGUGUCAGCUCCUGCAGACAAGAGAGCACCAUCUCCUUCUCAACAGUUAUAGGUGCAGCUUGAUCAUCCUGCCCAAAUACUCCCAAAAAUUGAGACGCUUUUGUUAUUUUAAGUAUUUGGAGCUUUGGAAUACCUGAAGCCAUGGUUACUGGGAAGAGACUCUUUAACUUGUUGCAUUCUUCAACCUCAAUUUCACACAAACUAGGGAAGCAUAAAGAUAAGAGAUGAUCUCCUGACAACAUCUGAUCCUUUUCAUCAUCAUCCUCAGCAAUGAUUUGCUCCAAUUCCUCACAACUUGAUGUCUUUAGAACUUUCAGGUGCACUAGAUUAGCAAUCAUGUUGUAUGUGAAUACAUAUGUCAGUCUCUUACACCCAUUCACCUCCAAAAUAGUCAAAUUGCUCAGCACACGACCCUUCCAUAUAUACCUCAUGUCAGGCAAGAAGUUCAAGUAUAAUGUUUCCAAACUCCGGAGUGAAAGUUCAUGCCCACCUCUUCUAUCAGUUACAAAACUUACAACCUGAAUUCCAUCUUUUAUUCCUCCGCAUUCUCUAAUAUAUAUAUGUCUCAAAUCUGAAAGCCCCUGCAUCAAAAGAAAACUACUUUGGAACUAUAUUAUAACUUUGGUACCCCAAUUUGUUGGGUAUAAUUCCUAAUAAUUUUUGUGCACUUUGGAACCAAUUAUCCCCAAUACCUCAGCUAACUACUUAUCAACAAAAAGAUAUAAAUAGACAGGGCAAUAAGGCAUGGGAUAUGAAAUCAUAAGUUGCAGGACUAAACACAUACAACUCAAAUUAAGCUCAAUAUUGGCAGUUGAAGUUUUAUCAUCCUUCCCAAAUACUUCCAAUUUUAGGGAAGAGCCUCAAUUUCACUCAAAUAAAGAUUGAAAAUACAUGUCUCAGUUCAUUAUUUCUAACUUCGUAAGCCCUGCAUCAAGAGACCGCGAAUGAAGUAGUUAGAGAACUCCUUUUAAAUUCAGUGGAUGCAUUUAUCUCUACUUAAUUAGGUUUUAGAAAGUUGGAGGAAGAAGGAAGAAAUUUAAAGUUGACAAUUUAAAUGAAAAGGUACAAAAUUAGCAGAGAAUAUAAACGAAUGGUUAGAUUUAAAUGACGUACUUGAAGUUGUUCCAACAAAUUACCCAAUUCCUCAUGGCCAUGAAUGGUUAGAUUUUGCAGAGAAGGCAACUGGGCAGCAAAAUCCCUAUGACCAAAAAAGCUGUAAUUUGAUUCAGACCAAAGAAUCAACUCUCUUAGCUUAGGGAACUUGAUGAUGCCAUCUCUGGUGAGUGCAUCUCCUUCACCGUAAAAUAUUUGCUUUAAAUUGUCAGCUUUAUCAAUCUUCAUCUCUUCCAGGUUCUGAAGACUUGGAGACACAGAGAUAGGAAAGACAUAUUCAAGUUCAGCACAGGCAAAUAUAUAAAGAGUUUUUAAUUCUAGGAAGGCAAGAGACUCUGGAAUUAUUUCCCUUUCAUCAUCCUCCUCUCUUAGAACAUACUUCAAUUCACGACAAUUUCUUAUCUCAAGUGUUUCUAGCCGUCGUAGACUUUGAGCGAGGGACAGUGUGAAGAUAAAUGUCAGUUUGUGAAGACGGUUCAAAUUCAGAUGAAUAAGACUUUGUAGGCUGACAUGUCUGGUGGGCCCCUUCCAUAUACAUUUGAGCUCAGGUAACAUUUCCAGCUCCAACCUUGUUAAAGAUGACAGCAGCGGCAACUCCUCCUCGACAUUGCUUUCAUCAUCCAAUUCAAAUACCUCUUCUAAUGAUUUGCAGCCAUUAAUUUUCACACUCCUUAAAUUUUUCAAAACUUGCAGCACUUUUGAUGGAAAAGGAGUACAGAUAUCCCCACAAUGCCACACUUCUACAAAUUCCAAUCUCUGGAAGAAGCCGUUUUGCUGCUCAUGAUCAGAAAACAAUACUAUAUUUUUUAAACCCUUCACUCUCCUAAAAACAAUUUGAGACACAGUAGGAAAUAACUGCUCCAAUAUCUCUGCAUUUAAGGAUGUGGCGCUUGUAUUAUCCAAAUGUAAUCUUGUCGAGGUUGGGUAUCCUACUGGAUCCCUUAUAAAUGGAUUAUAAUUCCCUAAAAUUAUAUCAUAUUUGAACACUCUGGGAAAAACAAAAUCUCUGGGAAUGCUUUCAACCUCUGGUAUCCUCAAUGAUAAUACAGCUAAAUUAGACAACGAAUUUAGUUCUGUUAGGCUUGCGUUCAUUCCUCCUGUGCUGUCACAUCCAUCAACAUCCCACCCCCCAAAGCUCUUUUUCCCGAUCAGCAGCUCUUCUAACUUCCACAACCUUCCAAUCAAAUUCACAGGGAUCCUUCUUAGCCUUUGACAACCUGUCACAUCCAGCAACCUUAACUCCUUGAGUUCUCCUAUUUCAUCAGGUAAUUCUUCGAUGGAUAAGCACCACAUAAGACCAAGAAUCUUAAGUCCCUGCAGCUUUCUCAACCAAAUGAGGUCCUUGCAUUCGCACUCCAUCAACACCAUCGAUUGAAGUUUCGUUGAGAGUUCGAGUGAUUGCAAUGACAAACACCCUCCCUUCACAGACAAAACUUCAAUUUCUUUCAUCCCUUCAAAAAACCUCUCUGGAACAUUCAAACCAUCAUCAACUUCUAAUAAUAGAACUUUGAGCUGUGGACAUACCAAUCCUUCAGGAAGUUCUGCUAGUUUAUUGCCCAUUAACGAAAUUGUGGUAAAACCUUCAAAGCUUUCAUUGCCAAUGGGCCACUUCUGCAACCCAACGCCAGCCUUUACCAUGAAUCCAUUUUCUGAUGAUGCUAUCUGAAUAGCAACAUCACGAACCAAGUCAUGCAUUUUCACAUG